rnacentral:lncRNA from 1 species
CCUCAUCAAAAGCACAAGCUAAAUCGUGGUUGCUGUUGGAUCGGCCAUUGCUACUGCGAUGUGGGCAAUUCGUUCAUUCUAGGUUUAGGGUAUGGAUGCAUCUGUGGUUCGAUUCCUAGGACAAGAGGAAAGGAAUCAGAAACGAUCGUUCAUGCCAAUCGGCUGGUCACGGAUUGUUUCAUUAUUCAUUCAUGGAUGUACGUAGCUACUAGCUGGGUUCCUCUUCUGCUUUUUGUUGUUUGUGUUCUUGCCAUGCAUGUGUAUGUCCUCAAAAUGUGUAUGAGCUCAUGUGGGGGAAAGUCCAGUAGAGUAAAAAGGUGGAUGGAGUUGAGCUUUAUGCCGUGACCUGAAUUAAUCUCUCUUUGACGCAGCAGGUAAACCGGUACAUUGAGGGAGCUACUAGCAAGUUCAUCUCUUUCACUUUUGACAGCGGGAGCAUGCGUCGACCCGGCCACUAGCAUGCAGAUUCCCCGCCGUCACCGUCGGCACGCGAGCGAUGGCAUGGCAUGGCAUGUCUGCGCCGAGCACGGGGAUUUGUCCGAUCGGAGACCACUGUCGUUGUUGUACUCUGCAAUUCGGCCGAAAAAACGUUGGAAAGAACGUGGCAUAUAUCUGGAGAAGAGUAGCUCUAUAUCUGUGUAUCCUCUUUCAGAAAUCUUCAGCCCUGGAUUGGCCUAGUUGCCUAGUUGGUGCACGCCAGGCGGUGGAUGAGUCCAAAACUCCAAUUAGCACUCUGUAUGCGGUACGGAAAAUGUGCCAAUUGGCGGGGCCGCGACGGUGGCGUCGCACAGCCACAGAAUCGUCACGCUCGUCCGCUUUCUAGGGCCGGCGGCGGCCAGGAACUGAAGCCCGUCGGAUCCCCGAUCGGGCUGUGGUUGCCCGGCUCCAGUCCUACAGUUUCUUCGUGCGAUGGUGUGUGUGCUCGUGCGUGACGGGGCAACCACUCCGGCGGGCCGUGCGCCGGUCGAGCCGGGCGCGUGGGUCCUCCCCGCCGCGCAUGUGCGUGUGUCCGGCGAGCGAUCGCGCGUCGGCGUCGCGCAGCUGGCGGUGCACGUACGGGGUAAGGUUUGUUCCUGUUGGAUUUCGGCGGGCACCGACCGGUGGGUGGUGGAGCCUUUUCUUUUCUAUGCUAAUCAGAUGCUCCACCACUCGUGCACCGCGGCGACGACCGACCCACCGCUGGGCGCUGGCCGUUCGUUAGCUGGGCGUGCCUGUGUCUGUGUGUGACGAGAAUCCGGCUGUGAUGUUACAGUAUAGUACUAGUAGCAACCGCUCGGCGACCACGUACUACGUUCUGCGGCGGUAUGCGGGUCGCUUUCAUGGCGUAUUUUUUGUUGGUCGUUGGUCUAGCGGACGCCGAGCUCGUGCCGUGACUGCGCUAACUGCCGUCAUUUUGUCAAAGUAUCUUUUGAAAGACUUAGUUUACGCACUACUGUAUGAGAUAAAACACACAUCGAAUACAAUCAAGACAAUUAGCUCCCUACGACAUUUUAAGGAAAAAAACCAUAUAAUCCAUAAUUCGUAUUUGGGUGACCUGUAUACUAAACCAAUCAAUAUAUUCAUAAUUUGGUGACCAGUUCAAUUUGAACAAAAUCCACAACAAUAAUUAUGGAACGGAGGGAGUACUAAUUUAGCACUUGGCUGUCACGGCCGGAACAUGAGACAUGAUUCGUCAGACUUACCCCUCUACUUUCUUACAUACUAGAUGACCCGUUGCGCCCAUGGCGCAAAAAGCGAGAGCAAGCCAUGAAAGUGAGAGUGAUUUAGAGCCAAUUUAAUAGAUAUUUAGGUACACAACGUUAUACGGAGUAUAUUUCAUUACAUGGUAACAUGAUAGCUAAAGAAAGUUAUGAGAUCACUUGAUGAUAGCUUACAUUGCCUUUAUAAAGCAAACUAUUUUAGCAGAGAUGCAUCAUAUAGAUAGAGCUGGCCUCUUAACCCCUGGCUGAGUCUUGUAUCUGCUGCCAGUAGGAAAGACAUGAAGGCGGUGAUAUUAGGUAGAGCCAUCACUGCAUGUUCCAUCAAUAUUGACCAUGAUUUCAUCGUCUAAACAACUCUUCAUGUAGGUGUGUUUGGUUCCUGUAGACCAGGUUCCGAUAUUGUUGUCCUUCAUUUUGCUAUACAUUCCAAAUCUUUUUUCCUGCCUGCAAUUAAGCCAUUGCUCUAAAAUAUAUUAGUUCUCCCACACACACCAUUUCUUUUGCCUUGGCAAAAGAUAAAUUGCAAACAGACAAAUUUAUGAAAAAAAAAACGCCACCCAUAUACGUAAACAUGGUCAGAUUAAUAUCAGCACACAUGCAUCUCUAAUAAAUGUUNNNNNNNNNNNNNNNNNNNNNNNNNNNNNNNNNNNNNNNNNNNNNNNNNNNNNNNNNNNNNNNNNNNNNNNNNNNNNNNNNNNNNNNNNNNNNNNNNNNNNNNNNNNNNNNNNNNNNNNNNNNNNNNNNNNNNNNNNNNNNNNNNNNNNNNNNNNNNNNNNNNNNNNNNNNNNNNNNNNNNNNNNNNNNNNNNNNNGUACUACCAUCCAUAAAACUCGAGACCUUGAGAUCUACCUAAAGGCUUAAAACCCCUACCUCAUACUUAAUACUAAUGAUGUCACAUGCAUCCUAUGGCAAAAAGAACAUGUAGAAUAGAAGCAUGGUAGUAGUGAAGUACUUUUUCGUAAACCUAAUAAUGGCUAACAUAAAAACCUGACGGUUGAAGCAUUUUGCAUCGAGAUAUGUUGUCUCCGUUUCCAGAACAAACCCCAUCAAAAAUAGUAUUCUUGCUCUGGCAGUGAGUGAAACCGGGAAAGACAGCUAGGGAGUCAACGAUCCCUUGGCUCACUCGUGCUUGUAUCCAAUUAGUUACCAUUCAAAAUAAUUUGUGUCUUUCGAUUUGAGAUAUUGCAGUUGAACAAAGAUAGAAGGUCAAAAUACAUUGUCCUUGGAUUUAUGUGGAAUAAAAACAGAGGCUGCUUGUGCAACUGGUGCAUGUAGCCAAAGCAAACCAAGAAUUAAAAUUUAAAACCAUUAUACUUACAUGGCAUAUUUUAUCGAUCCUGAUAACAUUAUGGUCCAGGCAUACCAGUGCAAGGAGAUACUUAAAUGGCGUCUUUAUACAUAACUGGCUCAGGCGUAUCAAGCCUGAUAAUGGGAAACAUGAUGGACUAAAAGCAUCAACUUACAUCAAAAGAAAGCUACGAAUGAAGCUUGCAGUAGCUUAUUUGUACCGACUUUAUAAAUAAAACUACAUAGCUAGCUAUAUCAUAUAGUGCAACUAACCAGCAUAUAAACAGAAGUGAAACUAACUAUACAGAUUUAGGAUAUAUAGUGCAAGUGAAUCAUAACGGUCGCUUACUUUCCCUUCCUGUAGUACAAGUCAGUGUCUCAUCUAGCACCAAGGCCCCACAUUUAUCAUAUUUUUGAACAUCUAAUUAAAUGAGCAAAAAAUAAUGAAUUGUACGUGAAAACAAUAUCAAUGCUUGACAAAUAGUACCACAUGAGAGUUUGACAGAAAAAGGAAGCAAAAAAAACACAAUAGAAAAAAAUUAAAAAUAAUAAUGGUUAUCAAAAAAGGCAGAAAGUAAUCGACACAAAAGCUUGCAUCAAGCUGAUCACUAAUGUCAAGUAUCAACAGGUAAUAGCACACUCAUUACGUUAGAAAGUAAAUGUGAGCCCUGCCCUGUUCUGCUUACCUACAGGGAAAAGGUACAAAUAUGUCUUACAUAUUUAUGUGCGGAGAAAUUAGAAAUCAACAUGUUCAUGUGAGGACUAAUGAAACUGAAACACUGAUGAUGAAUAACAUUAAUCAAUCUUGGUCUAGAAGAAAACAAAAUGGUAGAUCAUGAUAUAUGAAUUGCUCACAAGUAAAUCUGAGGCAGCUGGUCAUCAAUAUAUAGGGCUCUCCACGCUGCCGGAAAAUUCAUCCUUUGUGCAAAUAAAAUAUCAGAUUGAUGGUUAAAAUUAGAUCUAGCAGAGAUCAUGGGCAUUCAUAUUUUCAGACAAUAAAAAAUUUACAUAUCCCAUGAAGCAUUAUGUACACUGAAAUGCUCCCACUACACAAGCUUUGAGAUACAGUCGAAGUAUUACCGGUCACAUUUGUCACAUUCCACCAUCAUAUAUACUGUCAACCUCGUCCAUGAGGAGCAUUAGGCUUCUUUGUCCCGUGAAGUUGAUCCACACAUUAUAUAAUAAUAAUAAAACAAAUCAUAGUGGAAAAGUUCAUGAUAUUGACCAGCUGCCACUAUAAUUCAGAGUAGCAUUGUUGAUAAUUACUUUGAUAGAAUUUGAUGUGCUCCCCUCGACACCUUCCUCGAUCUUGGAUUCUACUUUACCACAACUAUCACUUGCAUUAAACUGCUAUGCAUAUACUAAUCAUUUGAAUUUAUGCCUCAAAGUUAAAUAAAGAACAGAAGCUUAAGCACAACCACUGAUUUCUACCUGGAUAAUUGACGAUAACCCCCCUUGUUGGCAAAUCCUUGAUCAUAUACCCCCCACCGCUAUCUCUGACAUGUGGGGUUUAAAUGGCCUGGGGGGGGGGGGGCGGGUUACAGCUAGCUCAUAUAGAGGCCCGAAGAACAACCUCUGUUCACACGACCAACACCAUGUAUUGAUCUAUCAGACAAAAAGGUAAAAACAAACACUUCUGAGACCUUCAUUUACAGUGUAGCUUUGCUCAGUGGGUAAGAGUGCAAAAUCAUGUCACGUGCUCUAUUACACAGAAAAAAUCAAACAUCAAAAUGCAGGAACAAGCAUGACUGUAUUCAAGAGAGAGAUAAUUCACCUUGGGCUUCUUAAUCACACUCUUCCUCAAAAUUCUUCUUCUACUCUCCACAAGUAACCAAAAAUUGAGGCACUGGAAAAUGCAUUCCCCUCCCAAUCCUUGAAAUCAGAAGAAACACUCAUAUGCAAAAGAUGUAGUAAGUCUAGGGUGAGAUUUCUUAAAGUUUUUGCCUAUCCCUGAGGCCUUUAAUCUAAAAUAGUACCCGUUUUUUAGAACAAUCUUAAAAGCUACCUUAGGGCUGCUUGAAAAAAAAUGCAUCUGUGGAGACGUGAAAGGAAGCAAAUCCAUAAAUAAUGUCUACUCAUUCAGGUUAGUGAUCAGGUGGCUGCAACCGCAAAAAAAAUAGGGCUUGCUUGGUAAUAAAAAUAGGUGUUCCAUAGAACAAGGGGCUGUUGUUUGUUUAAAUGGUAUUUGCAGUCAUAAGGUUGUUAGUUUAACAAAUACAUGUAUACAUGUACGCCUACAAUCUUACAGUUUACAUCACAUACAACUAGCAAAUAUACAACAAAAGUUUAGUUCUGAAUUUUGGCAAACAACAUAAAGAAAUCAUAUUAUUACCUAACAAAUACACGUGUACAUGCACGCCCAGAAAGCUUAGAGUUUAUAGGACACGCAGCAAGCAAAUAUACAGCAAAAGUUCAAUUCUGAAUUUCGGCAAACAACAUCCAGAAUUCAUAUUAGUAACUAACAAAUACACGUGCACAUGUAUGCCUAGAAAGCUUAGAGUUUACAGGACACACAUCGAGCAAAUAUGCAGCAAAAGUUCACUUCUUAAUUUGGGCAAACAACAUAAAGAAAUCAUAUUAUUACCUCUAGGAUUGGGGAAGCCGAGAGAGACUGGAAACAACAUGUAUGUCUAGAAAGCUUACAGGACCUCUAUAAAGCACUUCUGAACAGGGCUGCUUAUCUGCACAUACACAAGAUACACUCAGACAUCAUCAAAACUAUAUUACUUGCAUUUAUUGCCCAUGUAUGCAUAGCAAUAGAACUACAACAGGCGGUAUCACACACUGGUCUACUGAUCACGAAGACACCCUUCAUCUUUUGUUGCAAUGACAGUUUGAAGGAAACAACACAUAGAAGCGCAAUCCUAUACAUAGAAUAACCUGACAAAAACUUGACAAAAUCCUAGGCCCUCCCUGAUCAAUUUGCACCAAAAACACCGGAGCAAUCUAAGGAAAAUAAAUACAGCAAACAUGGCAACCCAACACACCAAAUCUACCAGAACAAAGAAUGUGAAACUUUAUUAACACCUCAUGUACAGCAACACAUCCCCUUCUCCUCAUGAUGGUUUUGUGCCAAGAUACCUUCCGGUGUUGGGGUUCGACCUCGUCUUCUCUCUGCCUGUACUUGUGUUUUAUGUCAAAAGCAAGACCGAAUAAAUUAUUGGGAUCUGAAGAACACGAAUAGUAUGGAAUAUUAAUAAUGGUGGGCGUACAACCCUUUGGUUCAGGUAGCAUUGCUUCAAUCUUAGGAUGUGUAUCUUUUGAAUUUGAUGCCAAACAACUACGGGUGUCAGCCUGCUCCCGUGAACAAAAAAUUUCAAACAAGAGCACUCAAAUAUUCAUCUUGGAAGGGUCAUGUGGUUUCCCCCUCACGCCUCCCUGCUUGCUCUGUUUUGCGCAGAUUCUCUAUAGUGGUGUGUCUAGCUGGUUUAGAGGCAGAUUGGCAUACAAAAAGCAUAUAAUAUGUUUCUGUUUCCAUUUUCUAGAUGGCGCACCAACCUUUUUGAAGCUCACAUCAUUUCUUUGUAGCACAGUUUUCUACCCUUGAGCAUAUUCACGAGUCUUAAAUCUUCAGUUGGCAUCAAGUGCGUAACAUAGUAAAAGCACCAAGUACCCUUCAUGACACUCAAAUAUAAUGCUCCUAAGCCUUAUUAAUCUUGACCAACGUUAUAAUAACGAUGAAUACAACAAGUCAUACAAGCGGGCACUGCUUGGAACAGAUAUGGCAGCCACAUCGAUGCAAAUCUCUUUGUGUGCCGAAGAGGUGGUUCUUGGUAACGUAGAUGUUUGGGUCCUCAUCUUGAUCGAUGAAGAGUGGAUUCUAAGAAGUAGUUAGCCUAUCCAUAUGAAAAGAACUAGACCAAAUGUACCUUACCAGAUGUUGAAAAUGGAUCAAUGAUCACUCAAUAGUGUAACAAGGAAAUAACACAAUUCGUAUCGGAUCUCGUCGAUUUCUCACACCUACACAAAUAAAGCCUUUGGUGGAGCUUGGUGAGGAUGGUGGACAAAAUAUAUGCAAUUGUUAGUGAGACUAAAUAAUGUUGAAAAAGAUUCGCAAAUUUGCAAAUGCAACAAGUUGACUAAUAGCAAGUAGUGGUACACGGAAACACACUCGCAAAUAGAUAAAUGGGGUUGUGCAAACCAAAAAUCAGUGGAAAUGUGGAAUCCACGGAAAAUGCUCGUGUUGCACAACACAAGAGAGACGCCAGCACGAUUGCACAAUAGGCGGAUACGGGACUUGUGCACAACCUAUAAAGCAAAAAUGCAACGACUUCUAUCCCAAGUAUCUAUAUGUAUGGUGUUCCGGAGGUAUGAUCCAAGAUGAUCGAGUAUGACAAUCUUAAUGUAGUAUGAUGCUAUGGUUCUUGCUUAAAAGCUCUUUUUCUUAUCUUUCUUUUUUGCUUAAAAGCUUGUUUGGCUCUUUCUCUUUUGAGCUCUUUCUCAUGCAAAACUUGACGAACCAAGGUAGUUAUUGUGUAUAUGCAAUGACAACCUUGUGACACAAGAGAUGAUGCCAAGAUAUGUGUACCAAGAUGAUGUGAUAUAUGCAAUGAUCACUAAUGUGCAGAAGUAACGUUGCCGGCAAUACUCAAAGGCUAGUCUUGAUGGGUAAGUGGCACGAAAAUGGGCUAUUGGGUUAUCAAUGCAAUGGCAAGGGUAGUGUACGAGAGUGUCGUUGAGGUUACUGUCCUUGCUUAUGGUGGAUGGUGUCAAAAUGAUGAAGAGGUCGAGGUCGAUGACAAAGAUGAGCGGCGCUGACGUCGUUGUCGAACCGUCCCUAAGUAGCCGAAACACGUUAGGAAACAGAAACCGCAACUCAAUUCUCAAAGACCAAAAGUGGCAAAAUUAUCGGAGUUUCUAGCGGGUAAGCAAUGGUGGUUGCGGAAAUCGGUGGUGGUAUGCUGCAAUGCAAUGUGGGGUUACGGGAGUGGUGGUGCAGAAAGUGUAGCGGGCGGCUGAAAAUUUUCCAGGGGAAAUUUCAGUCUUGUCAGGUUCGGUUGGACGUUCGGUGGGGGUCGGACGACCAUACUGUCGAACGUCCGUUGCCUGGGCAAUUUCGGGCAUGGGAUGAACUCUAGGGUUCGUGGUGGGUGCAAAAUGUGGGCAAAAUUGGACAAAUUUGUGGAUUGGAAAUGGGGGACUGAAUCUAGAUCUACCAGCUACACAUCAAAUCCACAGAUCAAAUCCAACAAAACUUCAUCACACCAACAAAUCACAAAAAAAAUUGGGGGCUAUUUUUGUGGGGAUUUUUGAAUUUAGGACGAAAUCAACAAAAUUAGGCUAGAAAACAAAGAGGGGAGGCUCCAAAUUCAUGAUCAACCUUGGCUCACGAUACCAAGAUGAUGUAGGGUGGAACCCUAGGGGCCGAUCUUUCAUGAUUUGGAGGGGAUCACAUGAAGAACACGAGGGGGAACAUGAUGCGGAGCAUCCUUCCAUCAUCCCCAUGGACUCUACACCAAAACAUCAAACCCCACGUGGACCCAUGACAAGAGCUAGAGCACGUGCAAUGGAAACCAAGGUGAACUCUUUCCUACUCGACAUGCAUAUGGAUACAAGUGGAACUUGGUUGCUACCUCACCAAAAUGCUCUGUGUGUCAUUAGGUACGAAAAUGAGCAUUCCCAAGCAGCUAAGAAGCAUCACCAAGGAGUUGGAGAACCACCCCAAGUCCACACAAAGGAACAAGAAGACAAAUAGCAACUAGACAGGAAGUCCCAGGCGACCCCGUGCGCGCGGGCCCCCGAGACCCCGUGCCCAGGGACUAUCCAGGGAGUUGGCGAUGUAGAACCCCAUGCACACGGGCGUGUACCGUGCACAGGGACCCCCGUGCGCACAGGCCCAACUUACCCUGUGUGCACUGGCCCUACAGGAUGGGCAUCUGAGAUUGUGUUUUGGACCUCCUCUCCUUCCACUUCGACCCCAAGCCUAUAUAUUCCGUACCUAUGGUUAUGUUUAGGGUUAGCAAAGUAUUAUAUGAGAUAUUUUUGUGCGUUGCUCCUUCUACCAAUCCAUUGGAGAUCAAGUCCUCUUAGGAGAGGAUCCACUUGUGGAUUUCAAGACCACCAUCUUGGAGAAGACUACCAUCAUCAAGACCUCAUCUCUAAGGAGUGGGAAGAAUUCUACCUAGUACUUGUUUCCUUUGAUUGUGCUUGUAAUCUUGUAGAUCUCAUGUAUGCUAUCUUUAGUAGAUGUGUGAUUUGGGUUUUGCUUGAGUGCUUGUCCAAUGUGUUCUUGUGUGUUCAUCACUUUCCCCACAUCCAAUUGUGAAAAGAUCCCUUCUAGGGUUCCACCCUACAACAUCUUGGUAUAAUGAGCAAGGUUGAUUCACAUCUUGGAGUCCCUACCCUCCACUUUCUAGCUUGAUUUUGUUGUUUUUCGUCCUAAUUCAAAAAUCCCCACCAAAAGAGUCCCAAGAUUUUUUUUGUAAUUUGUUGGUUCUUGUGAGAUUUGGUUGAUUUGAUCCACGAAUUUGGUGUUUGACAAGUUGAUCUACCCCCUACCACCUUCCACCACCUUUCCAUCCAUCACUUUUGGUUGGAUUUUGCAUAAUUUCCACGGAUCCAAAGGUGUUCAUCCGCUCCCGGAACACCCCGUGCACACGGGCCAUCGGGACCCCGUGCACACGGGUAUCACUCACCCCGUGCGCAUGGGCUACUCAGAGAAGUUUGACCACUCCCAUUUUCCUUCUUUUUGCCAUUCCACCACCACUUCUGCUCUUCCUUAGUACUUCUUGUGGUUGUUUGAGUUUUGGGUUGCGGUUUCCCUCGUGUCCUAAGGUGUUUCGGCUACUUAGGCACGAUUUGUCGUCAUCAUCACCGCCAGUCUUCAUCGACUCGGCCUCCACAUUGGCUUCGCCAACAUCACCUUCAUACCAACUGUAAGCAAGGACAGUAACCUCGACGACACCAUAGAAUUACCCUUGCCAUUACCUUCAUUGCUUCGAGCCUCUUUUGCGUAGGUUACCCACUGAGACUAGCGAGUUGACAAUUGUCAGACCAUGCCUUAGUACACCUUUAGUGUUACAUCUCUCCCGUGCAUAUAUUACUUAUUGAUUCGCAUUGUGGCUCACUUAUCAACCAUUGUGGCAUAGUAAAAAACCUAUUAAGCAAAAGAAAAAGAAGAGAAGCAAAGAGCUUGUAAGCAAUAGCAUCGAGCCUCAAAGCAUAGUUACAUCAUCUUUCUCACGACAUACUUAAUCAUACUUGGAUAGUAGAGUACCCAUUUCUCUCUUAGGUUGGUGCAAUCGAGCUAUAUCUUUCUAGUAUCCGCGAAACAAGAGCUUUAUCCAUGGUUACACAUCUUGUGCUCAUUCCUUGGUUGCGCGGAUCCCAUUUAUCUUCCGUGUGUGUGUUCCUAGAGAUAUCCUUGGGUUUGAUCUAUUUGUCUUACUUGCGAUUCGUGCAUCUUUUAAACCUUUUCAACAUCUUGACUAACAUUUGCUUGAAUUAUUUGUGCCACUUCCUAACCGAGAUCCAUCAUAAGCCUUUACUUGUAGGUGUGAGGAACAAAACCUGGUACCAAUUCUACUAUUAUAGCAUCAUGUGGGAUCGUACUUGAUACAUCCACAAUCUUCGAAAAAGGUAUCUUUGGUCUGUUCUCCCAUUUUUCCUACUCACCACCACUUCUACAUGAUGGAUAUGCCUUCUUCUUCGACGAACCCUCUCUUCGAGGAACAAGAUGAUGAACGCGACUAAAUCACCAAGAAUCACUUAUUCAUCGCGCAACGAGCUCUAAAUCAAGAGAGUGAAGCUUUGGGUGAUCGCAUCGAGCAACUCGCCACCGACCUACGACAAUCGGAAGCACGACAACGGGACUAUUUGGACACCAAGCUCUCCAAACAAAUGGAUGAAUUCCGCAACAUGAUCAUGAGCCGCGCAUCUUCCUCAACCUCUUCACCAAUACGGAGCCACUCAAGUCGACACUCGUCGUCUUACUCUUCUUCCGAUGCGAGUCCUCCUCGACGCAACGACACUCAAGAUCGCCAAGCUCAAGAAAAUCCUUUCCAUGGCAAUGACCUACACGACCGAGUUCGAGCAUGUGAUCAAGCAAGACGCCAACAACAAGAAGCUAUGGAGCAUGAUCUACCUCCACAAUGUCCUUGUCAAGCAUCUCAAGACGGCGAUGCAAUUCGGCAAGAGCAACAAAGUCGUGAAACUCAAGCUCAAGUGGCUCAAGACACACUCCAGAGUCCACUCAAGCUAUUGCCCAACGCAGCCGUCAAGUACGUGAGCAAGAAGAAGCCCUUCGUCAAGCACGACAAGAAGAAGUCGCUCGUUGUGAAGAACAACAAGAAAGGCGAAACCGGGAACAUAUGCCUCGACCGCCUCCACGGCAAGCAGAUCGACUGCUCGAAGACCCCCCCCCNNNNNNNNNNNNNNNNNNNNNNNNNNNNNNNNNNNNNNNNNNNNNNNNNNNNNNNNNNNNNNNNNNNNNNNNNNNNNNNNNNNNNNNNNNNNNNNNNNNNNNNNNNNNNNNNNNNNNNNNNNNNNNNNNNNNNNNNNNNNNNNNNNNNNNNNNNNNNNNNNNNNNNNNNNNNNNNNNNNNNNNNNNNNNNNNNNNNNNNNNNNNNNNNNNNNNNNNNNNNNNNNNNNNNNNNNNNNNGAGUGCUCAAAGACCACCCUCCAUGCCAAGAGCGACAUCAACAUCAUCACUAUGAUGGAGAACUCCACUACGGCAAGCUCAAGUUCACCAUGCUCAAGUUCUCCGGAAGCAGUGAUCUCGAAGAAUAUCUCUCAUGGGCAUUGAAAGUCAACAAGAUAUUCCGUCUUCACAACUACGACGAGGAAAAGAAUAUCGCCAUGGCAUCUCUUGAAUUUCAAGACUAUGUUCUCAUUUGGUGGGAACAAGUGAUCGAGCGACGCCACGAGAAGGACGAGCCACCCAUCAUGACUUGGACACAAAUGAAGGACGUCAUGCGAGCCCGCUUCGUGCCCACAUACUACACACGUGAUAUCUUCAAGAAGUUGCAACCUCUCAAGCAAGGCGCGAAGACGGUGGAAGAAUACUAUCAAGAAAAGGAGAUCGCCAUGAUACGAGACAAUGUCAAAGAAGAUGAUGAGCAAACAAUGGAACGCUUCUUGAACGGCCUCAACCACCCAAUAUAGAAUAUCACCAAUUUCCAACCCUACUCCAACCUUCUCUAGCUAGUUCAUCAAGCGACCAAGGCGGCACGACAAGUACAAGAAUAUUUCAAGUAUGCCAAGUACUCAUCCAAGACCAACGGCUCAUACACUCAAGCUACCUCUACUACAACUUUGGCACCUCCUACUCCGACUAGAGCAUCACCAAGUACUGGCGACAAGUCAAGCUACAAGCAAGGUAUGCCUUCCUCAACUCGUCCUCCGAUAACCAACUAUAAGAACAAGACUUCUUCUUCAUUGGCACCACCAGACGAUCCCGUCAAGAUCAGUUCUAUCAAGUGGUUCACAUGUGGUGGCCGUGGACACAAGUCUUUCCGAUGCAUCAACAAGCGAACCAUGAUCGCCAAUGAUGAUGGUACGUAUGACUCCAUGAGUGAAGAAAAGAUGGAAGCACUCGAGGAUGUCGCCAUGCAGUGCCAAGUGAAUGAAGAAGAAGAUUCUCAAGUCUAUUGUGACAACGAUUCAAGUCCCACUCUCGUGGUCUCCAAGGUCUUGACACUUCAACACAAACAAGAUGAAGACCAAAGGUGUCACAUCUUCCACACCAAGGCCGGCAUCAAUGGGCGCUCCGUGAAAGUCAUCAUCAAUGGAGGAAAUUGCCACUUGGAAAGUGAAGAGUUAUGUUCCAAGCUACAAUUGGUCAAGAAGAAGCAUCCUCGUCCCUACAAGGUCCAAUGGCUUAGCGACUCCGGUACCAUUCAAGUGGAGCACAUGGUGCUAGUUUCCUUCAAGAUAGGCGCUUAUGAGGAUACCUUGGAGUGUGACGUGGUUCCUAUGUCCGUGUGCCAUCUUCUCCGGAAGACCCUUUCAAUUCGACCUCGGCGUCAUCCACAAUGGGAGAACAAACCACUAUAGUUUCAAGAUGAAGGGAACAAAGUACGUGCUACAACCUAUGUCACCAGGCCAAGUGAUAGCCGACAAGAAAGCAUCUACCCAUCAUGGAGAGACUAGUGAGAGAGUGAACCACCACAAAGUGAGUGAGCGCCACAAGCCACAAUUGAGUGACUCUUUGCCAAAAGAGAAAAACUUGGUCCUCCUAGCCACAAAAAGAGAGAUGAGAGAAGUGUGUGAGGACCCAUCGAGUGUCAUGCACUACGUCCUAUUGUGCAAAGAUGAGGUGGCAAAGACUAACACUCCUAAUCCCCUUCCUCUAGUGUUGGCUGAUUUGUUGCAGGAAUUCAUGGAUGUCUUUCCCGAUGAGCUACCUCCCGGUCUUCCUCCUCUGCGUGGCAUCGAACAUUCAAUCGACCUCAUCCCCGGCGCACCUCUUCCUAACAAGGCUCCAUACCAUGUCAACCCCGAAGAAACCAAGGAAAUACAAAGGCAAGUCCAACAUCUCAUAGAUCAUGGAAAUGUGCGUGGAAGUUUGAGUCCUUGUGUCAUACCGGUAAUUCUUGUGCCAAAAAGAGACGAUAGCUUUUGCAUGUGUUCCGAUUGUAGACCUAUCAAUGCUAUCACCGUUCGAUAUAGGCGUCCCAUUCCACACCUUGAUGAUAUGCUAGAUGAGUUUAGCGGUACCUCCAUUUUCUCUAAAAUUGAUCUUAAAAGUGGCUAUUAUCAAAUCCGCAUACAAGAAGGUGAUGAAUGCAAAACCGCUUUCAAAACAAAAUUUGGCUUGUACGAGUGGUUAGUUAUGCAUAUGGGUUUAUCCGAAGCACCUGGUACUUUCAUGAGAGUUAUGGAUUACGUGCUUCGCCCUUACAUUGGUGUGUUUGUUGUAGUUUACUUUGAAGACAUUCUUGUGUUUAGAAACUCCCUCAAGGAACAUGAAGAUCAUCUUAGGGCGGUUUCACAAACUCUUAGAAAAGAGCGACUUUAUGCCAACAUGGAAAAAUGCACAUUUGACGUUGACAAGAUUGUUUUCUUGGGAUUCGUUGUGUAUUCAAAGGGUGUUCAUGUAGAUGAGUCUGAAAUUGAAGCAAUUAAAACUUGGCCACAACCCACUAAUUUGCAACAAGUGCGUAGUUUCCUUGGUCUAGUAGGUUUUUAUCGUCGCUUUGUGAAAUACUUUAGCACUACUGCCGCACCGUUGCAUGCUUUGAGUAAGAAGAAUGCACCCUUUGUUUGGUGACCCUUGCAAUCUACCGCGUUUGAUGAGCUCAAAUCUUUGCAUACACAUGCCCCAAUUCUUGCAUUACCUAAUUUCGACAAAAAAUUUGAGGUACAUUGUGAUGCUAGUGGUAAUGGAAUUGGAGGAGAUUUGAUGCAAGAAAAGCGACCCAUUGCAUACUUCAGUGAAAAACUCUCCAGUGCUCAACUUAACUACCCCAUCUAUGGCAAAUAAUUGUAUGAUUUAGUGCGAGCAUUGCAUGUUUGGGAGCAUUAUCUUCACCCACAUGAAUUUGUCAUACAUAACGAUCAUGAGACACUUAAGUACCUAAAAGGUCAAACCAAGUUGAAUAAACGGCAUGCUAAAUGGAGUGAAUUUAUUGAAUCUUUGCCUUAUGUGAUCAAGUACAUUAAGGGUAAAGAAAAUGUUGUGGCGGAUGCUCUUUCCCGCAAAUGCAUGUUAGUUACUCAACUUGAAUUGAGUGUGAUAGGUUUUGAACAUGUUAAAGCUCUUUAUGCCAAGGGUCCUUCCUUUUUGAUUCCUUAUGCAAAAUGUCUUGCUCACACUUGUUGGGAGAAAUAUUAUCUCAAGAAUGACUACCUUAUGUGCGCUAACAAACUUUGUAUACCAGAGUCUUCUCUUCAUUUGUUGCUUUUGCAAGAGGCUAACGGAGGUGUACUUAUGGGACAUUUUUGACGCAACAAGACCUUUGCUACACUCUCCAACAAGUACUUUUGGCCAAAAAUGUUCCGCGACGUCGCGCGGCUCACCAACCGAUGCUCUACAUGCUGCAAAUCUAAGUCAAAAGCUCAAUCUCAUGGUUUAUAUAUGCCACUUCCAAUUCCAUAUCAACCAUGGGAAGAUAUUAGUAUGGAUUUUGUGCUUGGUUUGCCUAGGACUCAAAAUGGAAAGGAUUCCAUAUUUGUUGUUCUAGACCAAUUCUUGAAAAUGGCACAUUUCACCCCAUGCAAUAAGAUAGACGAUGCUUCACAUGUCACAAAUCUCUUUUGUAGGGAAAUCUUGAGGUUACAUGGAGUGCCAAGGACCAUUGUGUCGGACCGCGACUUCAAGUUCCUAAGCUACUUUUGGAAGAUUCUAUGCGCCAAGCUCGGAAUCAAGAUUCUUUUCUCGUCGGCCUAUCAUCCACAAACCGAUUUGACCAACUGGAUGCUCUCCACCCUCCUACGCUUGUUGAUCAAGAAGAACAUUAAGGAGUGGGAGGAGUGCUUAGCCAUCGCCGAGUAUGCCUACAAUCGAGCUCGACAUUCGACUAUCGGCAAGUCCCCUUUCGAAGUUGUCUACGGCUUCAACCCUUUGUCCCCAUUGGACAUUCUACCUUUCCCGCUAUAAAAACACACAAACAUGGAUGCAAGUGCAAGGGCAAGCUUCCUCAAGAAGAUGCAUGAAGAUACAAGGGCAGCAAUCGAGCAUCAAGUACAUCGCAUCACCAACAAGCUCAACAUCAACAAGACACUAAUGGUGUUCCAGCCGGGAGAUCUCAUAUGGCUUCAUCUUCGCAAGGACCGCUUCCCCAACGAGAGCAUGUCAAAACUACUACCACGAGCCGACGGACCAUUCAAGGUGCUAGCACGCUACAAUGACAACACUUACAAUAUUGACAUCCCACGCGACAAGUACAACUUAAGCGACAUCUUCAAUGUCAAAUACUUGGCCAAGUACCAUGGUAAUGAAGAUCUUGUCCGUGCACGGAUCUCUCCCAACGGAGGGGGGAGACAUGAUGUGGAGCAUCCUUCCAUCAUCCCCCUGGACUCUACACCAACACAUCAAGCCCCACGUGGACCCAUGACAAGAGCUAGAGCACGCGCAAUCGAAAUCGAGGUGAACUCUUUCCUACUAGACAUGCAUAUGGAUACAAGUGGAACUUGGUUGCUACCUCACCAAAAUUCUCUAUGUGUCAUUAGGUACGAAGAGGAGCAUUCCCAAUCAGCUAAGGAGCAUCACCAAGGAGUAGUAGAACCACCCCAAGUCCACACAAAGGAAGGAGAAGACAAAAAAGCAGCUGGACAGGAAGUCCAAGGCGACCCCGUGCGCACAGGCCCCCGAGACCCCGUGCCCACAGACUAUCCAAGGAGUUGGCGUUGCAGCACCCCACGCGCACGGGUGUGUACCGCGCCCACGGGACCCCCGUGCGCACGGGCCCAACUUACCCCAUGUGCACGGGCCCUACAGGAUGGGCGGCUGAGAUUGUGUUUUGGACCUCCUCUCCUUCCACUUAGACCCCAAGCCUAUAUAUUCUAUACCUAGGGUAAUGUUUAGGGUUAGCAAAGUAUUAUAUGAGAUAUUUAUGAGAUUUGCUCCUUUACCACUCCAUUGGAGAUCAAGGCCUCUUAGGAGAGGAUCCACUUGUGGAUUUCAAGACCUCCAUCUUCGAGAAGACUACCAUCAUCAAGAUCUCAUCUCUAAGGAGUGGGAAGAACUCCACCUAGUGCUUGUUUCCUUUGAAUGUUCUUGUAAUCUUGUGGAUCUCAUGUAUGCUACUCUAGUAGAUGUGUGAUUUGGGUUUUGUUUGAGUGCUUCUCCCUUGUGUUCUCAUGUGUUCAUCACUUUCACCACCUCCAAGUGUAAAAAGACCCCUUCUAGGGUUCCACCCUACAACAUAACCUGAGGGGAAACAAGAGGAAACACUCAAACAACCUCGAACCAAUCACACACGUGCUAGAUUCAUGAACACAAAGAGGUCAUAAAGAUCCAAAGACAACAAAGGAAAGAUACAAGUAGCUAGUUCUUCUCCAAGAGGAGGUCUUGAAUCCGAGAUGGAUCUUCUCCUAGGUGGAUGGCUUGAAUCCACUUGGGGGAUCUUCUCCUAGAUGAAGGGCUUGGCCGCCAAUGGAGUAGGUAUUAAGUGGAUGAGCCAUACUUUAUCUCUCAAAUGAGCUAGAACUAUUGCUAACCCUAGAAAGAGGAAGGAGGAGGAGUAUAUAUUGUCUAGGGUCACGAAAGGGUAAAUGGGCUUCGGCCCGACACGCUGUACACAGACAGGUGUCAGACGUCCAACAGUUACCAGUCGUCCGGUGUCUUGCUGGUGCCGGGACAUUCGGUAAGUGUCGGAUUUCUGACGUUUUGGCUUUGAUGGGCAUCCGUCGGAUUUCCGGCCGAGGUCGGGCAUCCGUCGGAUUUCCGGCCGAGGUCGGACAUCCGGUGCGUCGGUCGUUCGGUGGGCUUCAGACUCUCGGUGUUUUGGCGCUGGUCGGUCGUUCUUGGAUAUCCGAUGGCUUUCAGACGUCCGAUAGCUGGGCGCGUCGGUCGUUCGGUACUUGUCGGUCGUCCGGCCGCUGUAGCAUUCUGGGACUUGGCUAGCUAGAGUUUUGGGCGUCGGACGUCCAUCAAGCCUCGGUCGUCCGGUGGCUGGGGAUUUUCUGGCAGCUCCUCUUCUUGUUCCUUGUACUCGGUGUCCUCGCUGUCUUGGCCGUUGGAUGUAGUUGUUCCGUGGCUUCUUUCUAAGUACCUUAUCACACAUAGUGUCUUCGCUUGAGGUAGUAGCCAUGUCUCACAUGAAGAAUGUAUAAGUCGGAGAGGAGCGAGUUCACCUUAUCUUCAAUAGCCUUUGCUUGAACUCUUGUCAUUAGUCCAAGUGGUGUCGUGGGAGCCGUAGAUAGGUCCAUGGGGAUGACCUUAGGAUGCUCCGCAUCAUACGCUCAAAUGCUUCAUUCUCUUGAUGCAAAGCUCUUUGCAUGCCGAGAGGUGGUUCUUGGUGACGUAGUUGUUCAGGUCCUCAUCUUGCUCAGUGAAGAGUGGGUUCGAAGAGGUAGUUGGCCUAUCCAUCAUUGCAAGCAAAUAUGUGAGUGGAAGAAAGGAAAUAACUAUACCAAAUGUACCUUAACCGAUGAUGAGAAUGGAUCAAUGAUCACUCAAUAGUGUAGCAAGGAAAUAGCACAAUUGGUACCGUAUCUCGUCAAUCUCUCACUCCUACACAAAUAAAGCUUUUGGUGGAGCUUAGUGAGGAUGGUGGCACAAAAUUUAUGCGAAUGUUAGCAAGACUCAAUAAUGUUGAAAAAGAUUCAUAAAUUCACAAAUGUAACAAGUAGACCAAUAGCAAGAAGUGGCACACGGAAACACACACACACACACACACACACGGAGAGAUAAAUGGGGUCGUGCAACCAAGGAAUGAGCUCAAAAUGUGGAAUCCACGGAAAAUGCUCUCGUUGCGCAACUCUAGAGAGACGCUAGCACAAUUGCACAAUAGGCGGAUACGAGACUUGUGCACAACCUACAAAGCAAAAAUGCAACGGCUUCUAUCCCAAGCAUGCUAUAUGUAUGGUGUUCCGGUGGUAUGAUCCAAGAUUGUGGAGUAUGACAAUCUUAAUGUAGUAUGAUGCUAUGGUUCUCUCUUAAAAGCUCUUUGCUUAUCUUUCUCUUUUGCUUAAAAGCUUAUUGCUCUUUCUCUUUUGAGCUCUUUUGUUGGUCACUUAUGCGAAACUUCAUGAACCAAGAUAGCAAUUGUGUAUAUACGGUGACAACCUUGUGACACAAGAGUUGAUAUCAAGAUGCUUGUACCACGAUGAUAUGGUAUGUAUGCAAUGGGAAACAACGAUCACUAAUGUGCACAGGCAACAUUGUCGACAAUAUCAAAUGGCUAGUCCGGUAGGAAAGUGACGCAAAAAUGGGCUAUGGGGUUGUAGCGACCCGACCUCAAAUGAUCAAGCUUCUGUGUAUCUGUGCCAUCCCUGGAUCAGCAUGCUGGCACACAUAGUACAUCAAUAUAUAUAUAUAUAUAUAUAUAUCAAAGUGUAGUCACAUGUAUAAAUAAUGUAAAACUGAUAUAUACCUCGUAAGUCUCAGCGGAAAUAAUCAAUCGGGGGUGGAGUCCCAUCAACGCCAUCGGCAGGUUGAGUGUAGACUGUAACCCUAUACCGUAGCUCUUACUCAUUGAAGAAAUAUCUGCAACAUGAUACAUUGCAGCCAUGUAGGUCAGUACAUUGAAUGUACCGACAAGAUCACUGUAAGAAAAAUAGAUUAUAAGACUAUACUAUAUGCAAUAUGGCUUUGUGGCUCUGUGUCUGAGUUUUGUUUGCGUAAAAGCUGCUUUUAUUUUCCGUACCUCAAAGGAAUAACAUGAGUCUGUACUACAGAGUUUUCUAUCUUGACAUGGUUCCGCCAACCGAUGUGCAUAGCCCAAAUCAUCAUAAGUUGCCCACAAUCAGUCCGGUGUUGAGAGUUCCGAGAUAGAUCCAAGUCCAGAUGCUCAAGUUGUUCGUAACUGGGAACAUGGCUAAUCGAUUAGGUUUUAACCCUCUGCAGAGGUUUGUACACUUUACCCGCAAGAUUUGAUCCCUCUUUUUACAUUCUCGCACUUCAGGGUGUUUGAGAACAAGACGACCAAAGCAUUGUCUUUCGGAGAGUUCCCCUGACCACUAUCCGGCGCUUAUCCAAUCCUACCGUAGUUCUACAUCUGCUAGCAUCGUCCCAGGCAGAGUCACAACUAAGGUCAACCAAGCCAUAGCCCAUAGUUACUUGCAGUUGCAUAGGUAAGCUUCCAGGCAUGAAAUAUUCUUCCGUCUCUUUGAGUCUGGGUGAAGCUUUCCGCAAGAUGUCAUGGCGCUUCUCCAUGCAUCCCGGCCAUCCACUGGUUUAUCUAGGGUGCCUGUCAACCGUCCUUCACCCAGUAGUGUGUAUUCAAUUCUAUUCUCGAGUCCUGAGGUCUUGAGGCCUUGAAGAUGCAGUCCUUGCAGAUUCCAUCAUGGAGUUGUUGUCAUUAACGUAGAGUCCUCCUUCACACCACUCUCGUGCACUCAUACCAAACCCCGUCUACUAUAGCGUAGCAUUAAAACUAUAUAACAUCCCAGGCUGGUAACAGGGAGAUGGGUUCCUACCUCAUGCAUUCUACUCAACUACAAGAUUCAAUAACACUACUGGAGGAAUUGUUGCAAAUAUGACACUAAAUGCAAUAAAAACAUAGGUAUGAAAAGCAUGGUCAAAGUGAACUUGCCUGAUAUUACUUGAUGAAGAUUGUAACGCUCUCAGAAAAUAACUUGAUAAUAUCCAUCACUCCGAUGUAAAUCUAUAUUAAACAUGCAUGGCAUUCACAUAAGCAAGCCUUCUACCAAGCAAUUCUAACAAUCAUUAAAGAAAUCAAAAUGUAAUGCAUCAAAUAAAAUCAAUAAAGAAAAUCAAUAAUAGAAACCAAAAUAAAAGUCCAAGAAGAACUUCAAAGAAAACCACGAGAAAAACUUCCAAGGAAAAGUCUAAGACUUUACUACAAACAAUAAAAAUAGCUUUUGACUUAUAUUAAACUAAAAAAAUUAAUAAAUCUCUAAACUAAUAAAUUAACAGGAAAGAAAAAUGAAAACAACUAACUUAACAGAAAGUAUUUUUCAUAAAAUUUUACUAGCAAAAAGAAACACAUAAAAAGCUUCUGUAAAACUCUGUUUAUACCCUAUGCAAGUUUUCAUGCAAAACUAAAGAAAAUAAAAUUUUAAAAUAAGAACAAAAUUUUCUACUGUUUAAUAAGAGAAACAAAACUAAAUUUGUCAAAAGUGACAAAAAGUUAAAAACAUUUUAAAAACCAUAGGAAAUGAAAAUAACACUAAACUAUGUAAAAUAGUGUUGUUUUGCCUAAAACCCUAAUUUAAAAUAAACAAAAACUAAUUUGCAAAAGUCUACUAUUUAGAUAAAAGAUCAAGUGAUCACUAGCAAAAAGAAUUAAUCAAAAAGCUAUUUUAAAUCAAAAGUUAUUAGCAAUCUAGUGUUUGUAACAAAUCUGUUUGAAUAAAAAGUUCAAAAAUAAUUUUCGUUGGUUUCUCUGGAUAGACGAGAUUUUUGUGAAAUCGUAGGAAAAAUAAUCAUCAAAAUCGGAGUUGUGGAUCGAACAAUAUAAAAAAACAAAACUGAAUCUAAAAUUAAAAAUAGAAACGAACAACAACAACAACAACAACAACAAAAAAUCGUGCACUAGCUACGUAGCGGGCUGUAACUGGGCCUAAGGGGUGUGCGUUCUGUACUAAGCUACUCUCGGGCGUAUUAUAACUGAACCGCUAACACACGUACAAUUAAAAUAAACGGCGUACCGGUUCGAUCUAAUCGAAGAAAACCGAUCUACAAAAACAAACCGACCUACUAAACCGAUCAAAUAUUAUUUGCACUUAACAUUUCGAAAAAAACAGAGGGAGGCGCUCGUUGUUGUUGCUUACAGAGAGGUUGGCGCUCACAGGGAAGUAGGGCGCCGACGGGGUGGUGGCUCCGGACGCCGGCGGUGGAGGCGGCGAUGUCCAGCGGGUGCGGGUCGUCUAGGGCGACCGAUUUUUGUUGAACGUGGGGCGAUGGGUCGUCGGGGACAGCGGAGAUGACGAGGAUGAGGUGGCGGAGCGUGCGGAGUUGGGGCGGCCUCUGUAGAUGACAAAUGAGAGAAAAAUCAUGUCAAAACAGAACGUGGGGGGUAGACUAGGCCGUUGGCCGGAGUUGGAAAAGCUAGGAGAGCUCACUGAAGUCAGAAUAGACGGAGGAUAGCGGCGGCUGCAGCGAGAUCCGAACGGCAUUUGCGGCGGCUGUGGAUGGUUUUAGCACAUUUCCCAAAUUACAAUGAUAAGCACAUCUCUGAAAAUCAAGAAUGCGGUGAGAAUACAAUCAAAUCAUGGUCACUGGUUCCACCUUUAUUACCGGAGGCACGCAAUUAGAAUAUAGAAUAUAAAAUAUCCCACUAAUAAAAAUAUACAAUAAUUAGGUUGUUUUGGCGCUAUUCUCGAAUUGCUGAUCAUGCAUGCUCAAUAGAAUUACCUAGCAACGUGUACUGUUUUUUUUUACCAUUUACUCAUGUACAGGGCAGAACAAAAAUCUCAUGAUAAUGUAAUAAAUACAGCAUGCCUGCAGAGAAAUUAUUUUGCUCCAUAAACCACUUCUAAAAUACGCCCCAUAUAACUUAGUACAUCAGGAUGUUAUGUUUUAUACUGAAGCACAAAGCGAUACCUAAAGAUAUACAUAGGUCAUAUCAUUGUUUGUACUGCUGGACAUCCAUACACAUAGUUUUAACAUUUUUUGUUAACUGAACAAAAAAGUCCAACAGUACUAACGUUCCUGCAAUACAUAUAUAGACUUAUAGAGAGAAGUAGUCAACCGUAGCUCUACCUGUAUUCGUUCUUGAGUGUGGAUCAAAAUUGGAGAUAUCAGAAAGAGGGUCUUGUCAAUGCUUUCCAGUUAUGACUUAUGAGCCACCUAUGAAUUAGAUACGAACAAAUAUGUAGGAAUAGAAGAUAAGUGGACAGUGGAUGUACUAGAGUGGUGUAUAUAGUUGGUUCAAUAGUAGGACACCAAAAUGAUUAUGACGAGAAGAAAUUGUCUUGGAUUCUGCACAACUUCCACGAGAAGGAUUUAGGCAAACUCUGAACUUCUAAGGAUAGAACCUCUGAGUAAGCCAGAACCCAUUGUUAACUUUCAUGACAGCAGAAUAAAACACAAUCAAACUACAGUAACUCAGGGAAACUACUAUCAGAUUUCUUGCAUGUGAAAAUUGAGAAUGUUUAUUAAUCCAUUUAUUUACAACUCACAAGCGGAUGUGCAUGACAUGAUCCUACUCCUAUUGACGCAUUAAGUAUGCAGAGCCCAUAGGCGAUGUCGUUUUUCCAUAUGUGUGAGCCUUUCAGUUUGUGAUUGGCAUAACACAACUGACUUGCACAAGCACUGCUAAAAGUUAAAUGCAUACUUUUUAUUUGAUUCAAAAUGCAUUUCAUGUCAGUGGUUAAAAACAGCUCGAAAUUUUGGAUAAAUUUCAUGUAAUUUGCUUUGCACCUAUUUCAGAGAAUUUGAUCAUAAAUGUAGUGCCAAACUGCCAUAUGGUGUUGUUUGCUGUGUUCCUACUUCGGAGAAUUUGAUAAUAUAAACAUUCGUUGGAAGCAUUUUUUUCUAAAGGAUUUUUUGAGGCAAACAACAGAAUGCUUUUAGCUUGUGAUUCACCAGAUAGAAAUCACAAGGCAAGCUAAAUCAGGUCCUUGAAGAGCUAAAAUGAACAGGGGUUCAGGAUUGUGGAACUCACCUUUUCCCUAUAAGAAGUGAACGUUUAAAAUUCUUCGCGAAUAAACCUCUGAAGAUGGACGACAGGCCUCAAAUUUGAUUGUAUGAACUAUUAUUUCUUAAACCCGACUGUGUUUCAUUGUAGUGCUUCCCUCUCCUCAUACCUGAAGCAUAGAGUUAAAUUCUAAUCACACAUUACUUGCAUAUUAACCAGAAAGCAACACACACUAGUUGCGUAUCAAUCAACACAGAAGAUGUACCAGGAUUUUAACCUGGAAAGGAACCCACAAUUGCGACUGUCCUUCCCAGAGAUAAUGGAUGCACAGCCAAGAAUCCCGCCGUAGAUUCCAUCAAACAGCUGGAGGUAGCGCUAAGACGUCGGGGCAACGGGCAUAGAAACGGUGUGCGUAGCGCCCAUGGUCUCGCGUGAUAGGUGCGGCAGGCAUGUAGGUAGGCAGCAAAGCAACGGGAAGGGUAAGAGCGAAGGGGAGGAGGGGGCAGCCUUACUAAAUAGUGGGCGUCGAAGCUGAGGUCCCGAGGUCGAGGAUCACCGUCGAUCCCAAGCCGGCAGUCGCGGGUGCGGAGACACCGGGCCGUCACACCAGAUGAGGCGCGCUGGCGUCCCAUGGAUGUGGGGGCGCUAGGGCAUGGAGGAUGCCUCGUCAGCGGAUGAUCGGAGGGAAGAUAUUAGGGAAAACCAGGCGGGUUUGAGAGAGGAAUCGACGAAGGGAGAUGGCGGAGAGAAAAGAUCUAACUUUUUUUUUUCUUUUCAACUCUACUUUUUUGGCUUCGUGAUAUUCGCACGGUGAAGCCGUGGAGGUACAGUCGGGCGUUGUUGGAUAUCCGAUGGCUGUCAGACGUCUGGUUGCUGGGGCACGUCGGUCGUCCAGUGCUGUCGGUUGUCUGACCGCUAUUGCAUCCUGAGACUUGCGCUGGCUGGAGCUUCAGGUGUCAGACGUCCGUUAAGUCUCGGUCAUUCGGUGGCUGGGGAUUUUCUGGCAACUCCUCUUCUUGUUUCUUAUACUCGGUGUCCUCGCCGUCUUGGCCGUUGGAUGUAGUUGUUUCAUGACUUCUCUCUAAGUACCUGGUCAUACAUGAGGUCUCUGCUUGAGGUUGUAGCCAUGUCUCACAUGAAGUAUGUAUAAGUUCGUAGAGGAGAGAGUUCACCUUAUCUUCGAUAGCCAUUACUCAAGCUCUUCUCAUUGGUCCAAGUUGUGUCAUGGGAGACGUAGGUAGGUCCAUGGGGAUGACCAUAGAAUGCUCCGCAUCAUCUUCCCCCCUUUGGAAAGAUCCGACCUCGGAUCGAGAGCCUCACCACCAUGGUAGGGAGAGAGAUCCUUGAUAUUGAAGAUAUUGAUCAUGAAGUACUUGUCGCGUGGUAAGUUGAUCUUGUAUGCAUUGUUGUUGUAGCGCUCAAGAACCUUGAAGGGUCCGUCGGCUUGGGCUCGUAGCUUGGACUUGCGUUCGUUGGGGAAGUGUACCUUGCGAAGGUGUAGCCAUACGAGAUCUCCAAUGUUGAAUAUCAUGGGUUGAUUGUUGACGUUGAGCUUGGUCGUGAGGCGUUGUAUGGUGCUCAACGGUGUGCCUUUUAUCUUCAUGCAUGUUCUUGAGGUAGCUCACUCAUGCACUCGCGUCCAUGCUGAUGCACUCUUGUAGUAGUAGCGGUAAAGUGUCCAAUGGGGACAAUGGGUUGAGGCCAUAGACGACCUCGACGGGGGACUUGCCGGUAGUAGAGUGUCUUGCUCGAUUGUAGGCAUACUCGGCGAUGGGUAAACACUCCUCUCACUCCUUUAUGUUCUUCUUGAUCAGCACGCGGAUGAGAGUGGAUAGCGUCCGGUUUGUGACCUCCGUUUGGCCGUUGGUUUGUGAAUGGUAUGUGGAGGAGAACAUGAGCUUGAUUCCGAGCUUGGCGCAUAGGGUCUUCCAAAAGUAACUUAAGAACUUGACGUCGUGAUCCGAGACAAUAGUCUUUGGCACGCCAUGUAGGCGCAAGAUUUUCCUACAAAAUAGAUUUGCAACAUGUGAAACAUCGUCUAUUUUGUUGCAUGGAAUAAAAUUUGCCAUCUUAGAGUAAUGGUCCACAACAACAAACAUGGAAUCCUUUCCAUUUUGAGUUCUAGGCAAACCAAGCACAAAGACCAUACUAAUAUCUAGAGACCAUGGGAUUGAGCUUUAAACUUAGCUUUGCGACAUGUAGAGCAUCGGUUCGUGAAGCAUGAGAUGUCACAGAACAUCUUAGGCUAAAAGUAGUUCUUUGAGAGCGUAGCAAAGGUCUUGUCCCAUCCGAAGUGUCCAUAAGUUCUCCUCCACGAGAUUCUAUCAAAGGUAACAAACAAAGACAAGACUCGGGGGUACAUAGUUUGUUAGCACUCAUAAGAUAACCAUCUUUGAUGUAAUAGCAUUCCCAAGAUGUAUGCAUCAAACAUUGGGCAUAAGUAAUAGCAAAAGUAGGAUCAUGCGCAUACAAGUCUUUUAUGUGCUCAAAGCCAAUAACAUUCAAUUCAAGUUUAGUAACAAGCAUGCAUUUGUAGGAAAGCGGAUCUGCCACAACAUUCUCUUUGCCUUUGAUGUACUUGAUGACAUAGCGAAAAUACUCAAUGAAUUCACUCCAUUUAGCAUGACGCUUGUUCAACUUAGUUUGACCCUUAAGGUACUUAAGUGUUUCAUGGUCGGUAUGAUGACAAAUUCAUGUGGAUGAAGAUAAUGUUCCCACUCACGCAGAACUCGCACUAAUGCAUAUAGCUCUUUGUCAUAGAUGGGAUAAUUGAGUUGCGCUCUAGAAUUUUUUUCGCUAAAGUAAGCAAUAGGGCGCUUCUCUUGCAUUAACACACCUCCUAUGCCAUGACCGCUAGCAUCGCAAUGAACUUCAAAAGUUUUGUCAAAAUUGGGUAAUGCAAGCACAUGAGCAUGAGUAAGCAAAUUCUUAAGUUCAUUAAAUGCGGCAUCUUGGGAUGGUCCCCAAACAAAAUGUGCAUUCUUCUUACUCAAGGCAUGCAAGGGAGAAGCAAUGGUGCUAAAACCCUUCACAAAGCGACAAUAAAAUCCGGCUAAGCCAAGAAAACUACGCACUUGUUGCAAGUUUGUGGGUUGGGGCCAAGUUUUAAUAGCUUCGAUCUUGGUGUCGUCUACAUACAUGCCCUUGGAAGAAACGACAAAUCCUAGGAAGACAAGCUUGUCGACACCAAAUUUGCAUUUCUCCAUGUUAGCAUAGAGUCCCUCUUUGCGAAGAGUUUGCAAAACGGUUGUAAGAUGGGUGACAUGAUCUUUGAGAGAUUUGCUAAAAACAAGUAUGUCGUCAAAGUAGACCACGGCAAAUACACCAAUGUAGGGUAUAAGCACAAAAUGCAUGAUGCGCAUGAAAGUAACGGGUGCUUCGCAUAAACCCAUUGGCAUAAGAAGCCAUUCAUAUAACGGAAAUUUUUGUUUUUGCCACUCUAGAGUUUGCCAAUUUUGCUUAUGCCACUCUAGAUUUUUGACAUUUCACUUUUGCCAUGCUUAGCUUUUGACAAUUAUCACAAUUGCCAUUCUGUUGCAAAAGCAAAAUAAUUUUAUUUCAGUUUUGCCACUCUUAGCUUUUGAAAUGUAUCACAAUUGCCACUCUAAAUUUUUUGCUUUUGCCACGGUAAUGGCAAUUGUGAUAAUUGUCAAAAAGUAAGAGUGGCAAAAGUGAAAUGUCAAAAUCUAGAGUGGCAUAAGGAAAAUUGGCAAAAUCUAGAGUGGCAAAAACAAAAUUUUCCCUUCAUAUAAGCCAAAUUUGGUCUUAAAUGCAGUUUUCCAUUUGUCACCUUGUAUGUGAGUUUGGUAAUAGCCACUUUUAAGAUCAAUUUUAGAGAAAAUUGUGGCUCCGCUAAGCUCAUCUAGCAUAUCAUGUAAGCAUGGAAUAGGAUAUCUAUAGCGAACGGUGAUAGCAUUUAUGGGUCUACAAUCAGAACACAUGUGAAAACUACCGUCUUUCUUAGGUACUAGUAUGACCGGUACGGCACAAGGACUUAAACUUUCAUGCACAUUGCCCAUUGUCCAUGAGUUGUUGUACUUGCCUUUGUAUUUCCUUGGUUUCUUUAGGGUUGACACGGUAGGGAGCUGAUGCGGAGCAUCCCUCAACUACUCGCACCGACACUCCAUCACCACCGCAAGCACCAAGUGGACCAAUGACAAGAGCACAUGUGAUGUCUACUACACAACCUUCUUCUUGUAGACGUUGUUGGGCUUGCAAGUGCAUAGGUUUGUAGGACAGUAGCAAAUUUCCCUCAAGUGGAUGACCUAAGGUUUAUCAAUCCGUAGGAGGCGUAGGAUGAAGAUGGUCUCUCUCAAGCAACCCUGCAACCAAAUAACAAAGAGUCUCUUGUGUCCCCAACACACCCAAUACAAUGGUAAAUUGUAUAGGUGUACUAGUUCGGCGAAGAGAUGGUGAUACAAGUGCAAUAUGAAUAGUAGAUAUAGGUUUUUGUAAUCUGAAAAUAUAAAAACAGCAAGGUAACUAAUGAUAAAAGUGAGCGUAAACGGUAUUGCAAUGAUAGGAAACAAGGCAUAGGGUUCAUACUUUCACUAGUGAAAGUUCUCUCAACAAUAAUAACAUAGAUAGAUCGUAUGACAAUCCCUCAACAUGCAACAAAGAGUCACUCCAAAGCCACUAAUAGCCGAGAACAAACAUAGAGAUUAUGAUAGAGUACGAAACCACCUCAAAGUUAUUCUUUCGGAUCAAUCUAUUCAAGAGUUCGUACUAGAAUAACACCUGAAGACACAAAUCAACCAAAACCCUAAUGUCACCUAGGCACUCCAUUGUCACCUCAAGUAUCCGUGGGCAUGAUUAUAUGAUAUGCAUCACACAAUCUCACAUUCAUCCAACCAACACAAAGUACUUCAAAGAGUGCCCCAAAGUUUCUACCGGAGAGUCAAGAAAACGUGUGCCAACCCCUAUGCAUAGGUUCAUGGGCGGAACCCGCAAGUUGGUCACCAAAACAUACAUCAAGUGGCACGUGAUAUUCCAUUGUCACCAUAGAUAAACACGGCAAGACAUACAUCAAGUGUUCUCAAAUCGAAGACUCAAUCCGAUAAGAUAACUUCAAGAGGGAAACUCAAUUCAUCACAAGAGAGUAGAGGGGGAGAAACAUCAUAAGAUCCAACUAUAAUAACAACGCUCGCGAUACAUCAAGAUCGUUCCAUAGAGAGAACACGAGAGAGAGAGAGAUCAAACACAUAGCUACUGGUACAUACCCUCAGCCCCGAGGGUGGACUACUCCCUCCUCGUCAUGGAUAGCGCCGGGAUGAUGAAGAUGGCCACCGGUGAUGGGUUCCCCCUCCGGCAGGGUGCCGGAACGGGCUCCCAAGAGGUUUUUGGUGGCUACAGAGGCUUGCGGCGGCGGAACUCCCGGUCUAUCUUCUUCGUGGAUGUUUUUAGGGUACGUGGGACUAUAUAGGCGAAAGAAGUCGGUCGGGGGGUGCUCGAGGGGCCCACGAGACAGGGGGGCGUGCCCAGUAGGGGGGCGCCCCCUAUCUCCUGGGCUCCUCGAGGAUCUUCUGACGUGAACUCCAAGUCUCCAGGAUCAUAUUCUUCAAAAAAAUCACGCUGCCGAAGGUUUCAUUCCGUUUGGACUCCGUUUGAUAUUCCUUUUCCUCGAAAUACUGAAACAGGCAAUAAAACAACAAUAUGGGCUGGGCCUCCGGUUAAUAGGUUAGUCCCAAAAGUAAUACAAAAGUGCAUAAUAAAGCCCAUAAUCAUUCAAAACAGAUAAUAAAAUAGCAUGAAUGCUUCAUAAAUUAUAGAUACGUUGGAGACGUUUCAGCAUCCCCAAGCUUAAUUCCUACUCGUCCUCGAGUAGGUAAAUGAUAAAAGAAAUAAGUUAUGAAGUGUGAAUGCUAGAAGGUGCACAAGUUUGAUCAAUGAAAAUUUCAAUCACCUUUCCUAACAUGAUUAUAUGUCAUAACAGUGGUUCAUCUCAUUAAACUUCUCACGAACAAGUAACAAGCAAUUCACAUGUUAAAGCAUAGACCAUAAACUUUCUUGAAAACUAGCAAACUUCAUUCUCAGUCAUCAAACAAUUGCAAUUCAUCUUGUUUUCAGGAAUAACAAACUCCACAUACUCAACUAUCAUAUAGUCUUCUACAAUUGCUAACACUCACGCAAUACUAAUGGUUAUGGAGUUUCAAUCGGACACUGAGAAAGAUAGGGGCUUAUAGUGUUGCCUCCCAACAUAUUCACCUUUGGGUGAUGUCAACAAUAAUAGUUCAUGCUAACUUACAUCCAAUUGGAUAUAUAUANNNNNNNNNNNNNNNNNNNNNNNNNNNNNNNNNNNNNNNNNNNNNNNNNNNNNNNNNNNNNNNNNNNNNNNNNNNNNNNNNNNNNNNNNNNNNNNNNNNNNNNNNNNNNNNNNNNNNNNNNNNNNNNNNNNNNNNNNNNNNNNNNNNNNNNNNNNNNNNNNNNNNNNNNNNNNNNNNNNNNNNNNNNNNNNNNNNNNNNNNNNNNNNNNNNNNNNNNNNNNNNNNNNNNNNNNNNNNNNNNNNNNNNNNNNNNNNNNNNNNNNNNNNNNNNNNNNNNNNNNNNNNNNNNNNNNNNNNNNNNNNNNNNNNNNNNNNNNNNNNNNNNNNNNNNNNNNNNNNNNNNNNNNUAUAUCAGGAUCUUCCCAACACGAGGUGCUUGCCAAAGGAUAAAAAGAAAAAGGGAAAGGUGAAGAUCACCUUGACUCUUGCAUAAAGGUAAAAGACAUAAAGUAAAAGAUAGGCCCUUCGCAGAGGGAAGCAGAGGUUAUCAUGCACUUUUAGGGUUGGGUGCACAAAAUCAUAAUGCGAAUGAACGUCACUUUAUAUUGCACUUGCAUAUGGACCUUUAUUAUGCAGUCCGUCGCUUUUAUUGCUUCCAUAACAAGAUCGUAUAAAGCUAUUUUCUUCGCACCAAAAUAUCAUACAUAUUUAGAGAGCAAUUUUUAUUGCUUGCACCGAUGACAACUUACUUGAAGGAUCUUACUCAAUCCAUAGGUAGGUAUGGUGGACUAUCAUGGCAAAACUGGGUUUAAGGAUAUUGGAAGCACAAGUAGUAUCUAUACUUGGUGCAAGGAAUUUUUGGCUAGCAUGAGGGGAAAAGGCAAGCUCACCAUGUUUGAAUGAUCCAUGACAAUAUACUUUAACUGAGAUGUCGGAAAACAUAACCCAUUACGUUGUCUUCCUUGUCCAACAUCAACUCUUUAGCAUGUCAUACUUAAUGAGUGCUCCCAAUUAUAAAAUAUGUCUACAAUAGUGUAUUUAUAUGUGAAAUCUCUCUUCCUUCAAUAUUCUUUCAUGAAUUGUUCAAAUGACCAAUACAACGCUUGCUAACCUUCAAUAAAUUUACAACCUCUACUUCUUAGAUGUGAAGUCAUUACUCCCCAUGAGAUAAGCAAAUGAGGCAUAUAUAAUUUCAGAUUUAUGACAAUCAACUCAUUCAACAAUUUACUCAUAGGAUAUAAGUGAAGCACACGAGUAAAUGACAAACUACUCCAACAAGAUAUAAGUGAAGAUCAAUGAGUAGCUAUGUAACUAUGUGAAGACUCUCUCUCAUUUAAGAAUUUCAGAUCUUGGUAUUGUAUUCAAACAGCAAGCAAAACAAAAUAAAAUAACAUUGCAAGGAUAGCACAACUCAUGUGAAGAAGCAAAAACUUAGGCUCAACCGAUACUAACCAAUAGUUGUUGAAGAAGAAAGAUGGGAUGCCUACCAGGGCAUCCCCAAGCUUAGAUGCUUGAGACUUCUCGAAAUAUUAUCUUGGGGUGCCUUGGGCAUCCCCAAGCUUGAGCUUUUGUGUCUCCUUAAUUCCUCUCAUAUCAUGGUUUCUCUUUUUAUCAAAAGUUUCAUCCACACCAAACUCAACAAGAGCUCGUGAGAUAGGUUAGUAUAAACCAAUGCAAAACCUUAUCAUUUUCUACUGUAACAAAUCACUAAAAUUAUUAUUCCACAUUGCAUACUAAAUGCCUCUGCAUAUUUAAUACUCGUAUCCUCAAAUAGAAUCAUUAAACAAGUAAACAUAUGCAAACAUAACAUCAAUCUAUCAAAACAGUACAAUCUGUAAAGAAUGCAAGAUUGAUCAUACUUACCUAACUCCAAAAAUUAUGAAAUAAAAUUCCCACUGUAGUAAAUUUAUCAGAGAUCAUUAUGCAAAAAGUUUCAACAUUAUACCAUUCUCUAUCUUUUCUAGGGAAUUUUUGCAACAGCGAUAAACUUUCUGUUUUCAAACAGCUAACAUGUAUACUAGCAAAAUAAGCAUGGUAAAGGCUAUCCUUGACAUUUUUAUUGAAACUAAAGAUGCAAAACAAUAUUCUAAAUAACAGAAAGCAAAUACUAACAAAAUAAAAUGACGCUCCAAGCAAAACACAUAUCAUGUGGCAAAUAAAAAUAUAGCUCCAAGUAAAGUUACCGAUGAACGAAGACGAAAGAGGGGAUGCCAUCCGGGGCAUCCCCAAGCUUAGGCUUUUGGCUAUUCUUGAAUAUUACCUUGGGGUGCCUUGGGAAUCCCCAAGCUUAGGUUCUUGCCACUCCUUAUUCCAUAGUCCGUCGAAUCUUUACCCAAAAUUUGAAAACUUCACAACACAAAACUCAACAGAAAACUCGUAAGCUCCGUUAGUAUAAGAAAAUAAAACCACCACUUAGGUACUGUAAUGAACUCAUUCUAAAUUCAUAUUGGUGUAAUAUCUACUGUAAUCCAACUUAUCUAUGGUUCAUACUCUCCGAUACUACUCAUAGAUUCAUUAAAAUAAGCAAACAACACAUAGAAAACAGAAUCUGUCAAAAACAGAACAGUCUGUAGUAAUCUGUAUCAAACGUAUACUUCUAGAACCCCAAACAUUCUAGUACCAAAUUAUGAAGUCCUAAUAAAUUUGUGUACCAAUCCAGAGCAAAAAGAAUCAGAUCAUAAGCACGUUUCUGUGAAUUAAACAAACUAAUUUACUGGGUGCAAAAGUUUCUGAUUCUCAGCAGGAUCAACACAACUAUCACCGUAAGCUAUCCUAAAGGUCUUACUUGGCACUUUAUUGAAACAAAAGCCAUAAAACAUGAUUAUUACAGUAGCAUAAUCAUGUGGACACACAAAAAUAGUAAGGAUAAAUAUUGGGUUUUCUCCCAACAAGCGCUUUUCUUUAAUGCCUUUCUAGCUAGGAUGAUGAUGACAACGAUGAUCACAUAAAAGAUAAGAAUUGAAACAUAACAGGAGCAUCAUGAAGCAUAUGACUAGCAUAUUUAAGUCUAACCCACUUCCUAUGCAUAGGGAUUUUGUGAGCAAACAACUUAUGGGAACAAUAAUCAAUUAGCAUAGGAAGGUAAAACAAGCAUAGCUUCAAAACUUGAAGCACAUAGAGAGGAAACUUGACACUAUUGCAAUUCCUACAAGCAUAUGUUCCUCCCUCAAAAUAAUUUUCAGUAGCAUCAUGAAUGAAUUAAACAAUAUAACUAGCACCUAAAGCAUUCUUUUCAUGAUCUAUAAGCAUAGAAAAUUACUACUCUCCACAUAAGCAAAUUUCUUCUCAUGAAUACUAGUGGGAGCAAACUCAACAAAAUAAUUAUCAUGUGAGGCAUAAUCCAACUGAAAACUAAAAUCAUGAUGACAAGUUUCAUGGUUAUCAUUAUUCCUAGUAGCAUACAAGUCAUCACAAUAAUCAUCAUAGAUAGCAACUUUGUUCUCAUAAUCAAUUGGAACCUCUUCCGAAAUAGUGGAAUCAUCACUAAAUAAAGUUGACACUCUUCCAAAUCCACUUUCAUGUUCAUCACAAUAAGAUUGAACAUCCUCCAAAAUAGUGGGAUCACUACUUCCUAAAGUUUACACUCUUCCAAACCCACUUUCAUUAAUAUAAUCAUAAUAAAUAGGAGGCAUGCUAUCAUCAUAACAACUUUGCAUAUCAAAACUUGGGAUGCUAAAAAUAUCAUAUUCAUUAAACAUAGCAUCCCCAAGCUUGGGACAAACAUUAAUUUCAGCAAAUAUAUUCUCAAAUAUUUCAUCCUCAUCAAACAUAGCUUCCCCAAGCUUGGGCCUUUGCAUCAUAAGCAUAAUCACUCUCAUCAUUAAUAGUAUGGAUAGCACCAAUAGUAUAGCAAUUAUCAUCAUCACAAUGAGUAGUAGGAGUAACAUCAUUUGGGAGGGAUACCUUUUUACCUUUGUUGCCCCUUCUUUUCCUUUUCUUUUUCACAUUAUGUGUGGGUUCAACCUUCUUCUUUGAGCUCCUUAUAGAUGAGAUUGGUUGAAUAGAAAGCUCCUCCUCGUUACCUGAUUCAUCAUAAGAAAUAAUAGGAGGGUAUUGGGAAGUCUCUUCCCUUUCAUUACUAUUUUCAUCAUCUUCUAUUUGCUUUCUUUUCUUUAUGUAAUUGUCAAUAUAAGGAUUUUCAAUGCAAUUAAAUCUUCACUAGAUCAAUAUCAAGGAAUUUCUUAUGGGCAAAUUCUGGAAUGUCCUUAAUUAAAUGUUUCAAUUCUUCAUAACCCAAAAGUAAACUAAGUUCAUUGUAAUGUGCAAGGGAAAUCAAAUAAUCACAAUUUUUGGACACGAUUCGAUCAUGAAAUAAUUUGCAUAGGAGAUGUAGAUGACCACGUUCAUUGCAUAGUUCACAAGUACGGCAAAGGAAAUUUAAAUUUUCAGCACUCACAUUUAGCCUUUCUUGCAAACAUUUAGUUUCUAAGUGCUUAUGCCUCUUGCAAUAUAUAUCUUCUCUAUUUGGUGUGUUCAUGCAAACAUGCACUCCACAAAAGUUGACAUGCUUAUAAGAGAUAUUUUCAUCAUGACUAGAUCAAUCAUCAUUAGUACUAUGGAUAUUCAAGGAGUUCAUACUAACAACAUUGCAAUCAUGCUCAUCAUUCAAAGAUUCAGUACCAAGCAUUUUAAUGCACUCUUCUUCUAGCACUUGAGCACAAUUUUCCUUUCCAUCAAACUCAUGAAAGAUAUUAAAAAGACGAAGCAUAAGAGACAAACUUAACUCCAUUUUUUUGUAGUUUUCUUUUAUAAACUAAACUAGUGAUAAAACAAGAAACAAAAAGAUUCGAUUGCAAGAUCUAAAGAUAUACCAUCAAGCACUCACCUCCCUGGCAAUAGCGCCAGAAAAGAGCUUGAUGUCUACUACACAACCUUCUUCUUGUAGACGUUGUUGGGCCUGCAAGUGCACAGGUUUGUAGGACAGUAGCAAAUUUCCCUCAAGUGGAUGACCUAAGGUUUAUCAAUCCGUAGGAGGCGUAGGAUGAAGAUGGUCUCUCUCAAGCAACCCUGCAACCAAAUAACAAAGAGUCUCUUGUGUCCCCAACACACCCAAUACAAUGGUAAAUUGUAUAGGUGCACUAGUUCGGCGAAGAGAUGGUGAUACAAGUGCAAUAUGGAUAGUAGAUAUAGGUUUUUGUAAUUUGAAAAUAUAAAAACAGCAAGAUAACUAAUGAUAAAAGUGAGCGUAAACGGUAUUGCAAUGAUAGGAAACAAGGCAUAGGGUUCAUAAUUUCACUAGUGCAAGUUCUCUCAACAAUAAUAACAUAGAUAGAUCAUAUAACAAUCCCUCAACAUGCAACAAAGAGCCACUCCAAAGCCACUAAUAGCGGAGAACAAACAUAGAGAUUAUGGUAGGGUACGAAACCACCUCAAAGUUAUUCUUUCGGAUCAAUCUAUUCAAGAGUUCAUACUAGAAUAACACCUUAAGACACAAAUCAACCAAAACCCUAAUGUCACCUAGAUACUCCAUUGUCACCUCAAGUAUCCGUGGGCAUGAUUAUAUGAUAUGCAUCACACAAUCUCAGAUUCAUCCUACCAACACAAAGUACUUCAAAGAGUGCCCCAAAGUUUCAACCGGAGAGUCAAGAAAACGUGUGCCAAACCCUAUGCAUAGGUUCAUGGGCGGAACCCGCAAGUUGGUCACCAAAACAUACAUCAAGUGGCACGUGAUAUCCCAUUGUCACCACAGAUAAACACGGCAAGACAUACAUCAAAUGUUCUCAAAUCAAAGACUCAAUGUGAUAAGAUAACUUCAAGAGGGAAACUCAAUUCAUCACAAGAGAGUAGAGGGGGAGAAACAUCAUAAGAUCCAACUAUAAUAACAAAGCUCGCGAUACAUCAAGAUCGUGCCAUAGAGAGAACACGAGAGAGAGAGAGAGAGAUCAAACACAUAGCUACUGGUACAUACCCUCAGCCCCGCAGGUGGACUAAUCCUCCUCGUCAUGGAUAGCGCCGGGAUGAUGAAGAUGGCCACCAGUGAUGGGUUCCCCCUCCGGCAGGGUGCCGGAAUGGGCUCCCGAGAGGUUUUGGUGGCUACAGAGGCUUGCGACGGCGGAACUCCUGAUCUAUCUUCUCCGUGGAUGUUUUUAGGGUACGUGGGACUAUAUAGGCGAAAGAAGUUGGUCGGGGGGUGCUCGAGGGGCCCACGAGACAGGGGGCGCGCCCAGUAGGGUGGGGGUGUCCCCUAUCUCCUGGCCUCCUCGAGGAUCUUCUGACGUGAACACCAAGUCUCUAGUGUCAUAUUCUUCCAAAAAAUCACGCUGCCGAAGGUUUCAUUCCGUUUGGACUCCGUUUGAUAUUCCUUUUCCUCGAAAUACUGAAACAAGCAAUAAAACAACAAUAUGGGCUGGGCCUCUGGUUAAUAGGUUAGUCCCAAAAGUAAUAUGAAAGUGCAUAAUAAAGCCCAUAAUCAUUCAAAACAGAUAAUAAAAUAGCAUGAAUGCUUCAUAAAUUAUAGAUACGUUGGAGACGUAUCAACGUGCACGCGCCAUCGAGAACGAGGUGAACUCUUUCCUAUUCAAGUCUCGUUUGGGUUCAUGUGAGGAUUGGAUUCUACCUCAAACGGAAACAUUGCUCACUCUUAGGUAGGAGGAAGUUGACCGCGAGAAGGAGAAGACGGAGAUGCGAGCCUCCAUGGAGAAAGAGAAGGAAGGAGAGAGCAAGAAGAGCGAAGAAGGAGGAAGGGAGAUAAAACCCCCUGAGCACUCUGGGUGCUCGGCCUCCCAGCCCCGGGUACCUGGCCGCACCACCUGGGAGCUGCCCAGGCCUGGCCCGGGUGCCCGGCCCCUUGCCACCCGGGUGCCUGGGUCCUCCUCUCCCAGCCAUUGGUGGCACCCUCGGGUGCCUGGCCGGACCCAGCCGGCCUCCUGGCGCCACCCCGGGUGACCGGGCUUGGGACCCCCGGGUGCCCGGCCAACUCCCAGCCGGCCCCCUGCCUAGGCCGGGUGCCCGGCCCCUCGCGCCCUAGGUGCCCGGCCGAACCUGGGCGUCCUCCCCUGACCGGUCCGGGUGCCCGGUCCCGUGGCCCCGGGUGCCCGGACGACACCGUGGGCCUGCGUGCCUCCUCGGGGCUUUGCCCUUGUAUCCCCCACCUCUCUCAUUUCGUCCCCAAACUAGUUCAUUUGUAGGGUUAGCAAAGAUAUUAGAACACAAAAGAGGGCUUUUCUCAUCUUCCUCCUUUAGGAUAUCUAGACCUCCACUUGGAGAAGCUCCUCUUGGAGAUCAAGCUGUCCUCUUGGAGAAGAUCCUUUUUGGAUGCAAGACCUCACCUAGUGAGAAGACCUUUACCCUAGUGCUAUUCCCCUUGGAUUGAUCUUGUAAUCUUGUGCAUCUCAUGUAUGCUACUCUAGUGGAUAUGAUAUUUGGGUUUGUUUGAGAGUUUUGUUCUUGUGUUCUUGAGUGUUUUUCCUCCUUUUUCCCCUCCAAGUGUGAAAAGAUCCCACCUAGGGUUUGACCCUACAACAUCUUGGUAUCAUGAGCAAGGUUUAUUCACAUCUUGGAGUCCCAUCCCCCCAUUUGCUAGCUUGAUUUUGUUGUUUUUUUGUCCAAAUUCGAAAAUUCCCACAAAAAUAGCCCCAAAUUUUUUUUUCUUGCAAUUUGUUGGAUCUUGUGAGAUUUGGUUGUUUUGGUUCAUGGAUUUGAUGUUUGGCAAGUGGAUCUAGCCCCUCCCCAACAAUCCCCACCCUUCCCACCACGAAAUUCGCGGAAUUUUGCUUUUCCCCCAAAUUUUUCGCCCAUCCCGAAGACCACCGGGUGCCCGCACCUCGAACCCCCGGGCACCCGCACCUCGCCCAGCCACCCCCGGGCACCCGCACCCGACACCCCCGGGUGCCCGCACCACCCCAAAUCAGCCCACUACCAACACCAUUUUGGCCAUAACUUCCACCUCCCAAGUCCGUUUUCGUGUUCUUUAGCUCGUUUAGAAGCUCUUGACAUCCCCCAUCCACUCAUCCCACUACCACCACCAUUAGCCCCCAUCCAAAAAAUCAUCACAAAAACACCCACCUUCCGCAUUUGCCUGAUUUUGUGUUGCCUUUUUCGUUUCCUAAGGUGUUUCGGCUACUUAGGAGCGUGUGACAUCUUCGUCACCAUCAUCGACUCGGAGUCAUCUUCAUCGCUAACCGUAAGAAAGGACGGUAACCUCGACGACACUUACUCCUUACAUUGCUUUUGCAUUGAUAGCCCGAGCCACUUUGCGUCGCUUACCCAUUGUGUCGGAUUUCGGGUUCCGGCAGACCCUUGAGGUUCGAACACUGGGGUGCGCGCGGAGAUUUCGCCCUCAAUCUACCUGCUCGUCGCCGAAUCGCUAGGAUCUAAACUACGAAAGGAACAACACAAGAGACAUGGGGUUUAUACUGGUUCAGGCCACCAUUGUGUUGUAAUACCCUACUCAAGUGUGUGGUGUGGUCGAUUGCCUCUCGGGCUGAUGAUGAACAAUACAAGGAGGAACAGCCUCGCGAGGGUCUGUUCUUGGCUGGUGCGACAAACUUCUAGGAGGAGUUCAGUCGCUCUAUCUACUGGUUUCUUGGUGAGGAUCCAGAUGCCUCUACCCUGGGGGUGGCUAGUCUUAUUUAUAGGCAAAGGCCCUGGGCCUCUCCCCAAAUAUUGAGCGGGAAGGGCGCCAACAAUUGGCCAUUUUGAAGGGGAACAACGGGUACACCUAUCCUGACUAAAGUUGGUCCUCGCCUGCCAAAGGCUCUGGUGGUGACACCUGCUUGGGCUCCACAAUGACUUCCUCCCUGCCGUUGGGCUGGUCUUGGUCUUGUUGCACCGAAAUGGAUGCUUUUGCUUGAUGCUCUCGCCUGCGCUUGCUCCCUUUGCACCAAAGAGGAAAGGAGGACACUGCGCGGGCUGGCGCCUGACUGGUACCCUUGGUCGUCAUGGCUUGCGUCAUGGGCACCUCGCGAGGUGCCUCGCCUUGAAUCUCCGCCUCCUCAUGAGCCCGCCUGAUGAGGCUGUGCCCGAAGAAGCUCCUUGUCGUCCGCCCCGCAAGGCUUGGCUCCUCGCGAGGGUCUUGGGCUUGUGUUGAUGAAGAUGGGCUGUGCUAGGCCCCCUUCGAGCCACGUCGCAGGCCGCAGGCAGGCAAGUCUGGGGCCCCUCGUUCCCAGAACGCCGAUAGUAGCCCCCGGGCCCACGGCGCGCCCGUACUUGGCCGAGCAGAGAGGCGAAAGGGCAAGUGCGAAGCGUCGCGGGCCCUUACAGCCUGCGGCCUUGGGCGUCGCGUGGCGGUUGAUUGGACAUGGGCGCCUCUGCAACCAGGCGAGUUGAUAAAGGAGACGCAUCUGCCCCUUGCCUUCUUUGCUUUCUCCAGUUGCUGCUCAGAUCCCCUUUCUCGCGCCUCUCCUCCCCGCCUCCGAAAUCUUCAGAUCUACUCUGUCCGAGCACCCUAGCCAGACAUGGCGCCUCACCAAGCCCCAGCCGGAGCUUGGUAUUCAUCCGCCUUGGACUCGCCGAACGUGUCGGAGGCGAGCCUUGCCCGGGUGCGCCAGAUGGCGGCGGCGCAGGGCAUCGACGGGGCGAAGGUGUUCAAGGCCAGCUCUGCCCUCCCUGAAGGCCAAGGGAGCACCUUCUAUCCGCUCUUCGUGAGCGCCAUUGUCGCCGGUCUGGUGCCUCCCUUUUCUGAGUUCUUCUUCUCUGUCCUCCGCCACUAUAACCUUCAAGCUCUGCACCUCCAUCCCAACUCUGUUCUUCUUCUGGCAAUCUUCGCCUAUUAUUGUGAGGCUCACGUAGGGGUGAAGCCCUCAGUGGCCUUGCUGCGCCACUACUUCUCCCUCCGGACCUCCCGUGGUUCCGUCUCCGCGUGUGCGAGCUUCGUUGCGUACGACAGCUUCAUCGCCAUUUCGAACCCUGGGAAAAGGAUCGAGGGCUUCAGGAGCAAGUGGGUCAUGGUGGAUGCUGGGCGCAUCCACCAUCGGGUGAUUCUGCCCACGGGGCACCCCGCGAGCUCCGACGACUGGUCCCGAGUGGAGCUUGUGGAUCCCCGCGUGAAGCCGGUGUUGGAGAAGAUGGACGCGGAUCUGAGGCCGGCCAGCAUGGCGGCAGCGAAGCUGACCGGUGCAUCGCUGCUGAGGGAGUUCCUGGAGCACUAGCUGGCUCCGCUUCGUCAGUACUCACUUCCGAUGUGGAGGCCCCACCCGAGCCCCGCAGUCUUGGCCGACGAGGAUCUGGCUGCGGUUCUCCAAUCUUUGGUUGGGGGCGACGUGGCGAGGUUGGAGGGCGCUCCUACGCCCCUGUUCCUCCGCGAGGACUGGGAGCAGCUAGUGGGGUCCAUGCCCGCCUUUAAUGGGGACGGGCCCGUGCCCGUGGAGGCUCCCGAGGACCCGGUGGACGUGUCCUUCGGCGACUCCAGCGAAGAGAAGGGAAGAGAGGAGCGGGAAGAGGGGGCUGACUCCGAGGCGGAGUCAAGGGCUCCCCCCCUCCGGUGCAGGUCCCGCCCUCUCUACCUCUCUCUGAGUGAUGACGACGAGGGUGAUGGCGAGCAGGGCGGCGGGAGCCUGCCCCCGAUCCUGAAGAAGGACCAGACCGGGCUGAUCCCCCGCGGGUCUGCCCCAGCCCCGAAGCGAUCCGCAGGCGCGCUUUCUCCUCCCGAGCCCCUUGAGGCUGAUCCUUGCAGCCGGCUUUCGGGCUUGAAGUACGGCCGGAGGCUGCUCAAGCCUGCAAGCGACGACCUGUAAGUGCUUGAUUCCUGUCUUGUUUAUUGUUCUGUUGUUGAGGCUUGACGCUCGUGUCUCCCGGCUAGGCUGGCGCCCGUGGCAAAGAAGUCAAAGGGAGCCCCUGAGGUUCCAUAUGCGGCACGGGCCUCUGCCCGUGAAAGAGGGUGACCGUGACGCACGGGCCUCUCCUGCCCGUGCAUCCUUGUGAGGCCUGGCUGAGCCGACCGGGGCGAGCUCAGCCCCCAAGGCCCAAGCGACUCCCGAGGUGCCCUUGCCUGAUGCCGCCACCACAGCCGUCGUGGCGCAGCAGGUUGCACCUCAGGAUACCGUGAUCACGCUGCCGUCUUCUCCUCCUACUCCUCCGACAGCUGCUUCCCCGACCACUGUUCUGGAUCCGCUGUUGCCGAACUGGACCGUCUGCGGCAGGACCUUCUGGGCGCUGACCCUCGCCUAGUGGCCGGGCGCUUGGAGCUAGCUUCUGGCUGGAUUCGCUCCGAUGCUUCAAUUCGUGCGGCGCUGGUCCAGGCCUCGACGGCCUGCGAUGAGGAGAAGCAGGCCGUCCUUGGGGCGAAGGUUGCCCGCGACGCCGCCUUGGGGGAGGUGACUAACGUUCGAGGUCGCUGCGAGGCGCUGGAGAGCGAGCUGAAGGGCCUGCAAGAUCGGCUCGCCGAGGAGACCCGCCUUCGCCAGGAGCAGGAGGAAAGCAUGAAGGCUCUCAAGGCGGCCAGGACCGAGACGCCAAGCUUAAGAAGUGCCGUGACUGCCUGGGCGCGCAGGAGCAAGAGCUGGAGGCGAGGAAGGUUGAGUUGGACGACAAGGCACGGGUUCUUGCCGAGGAUCGCGUGGCCUUUGCGGAGAUGGAGGAGAAGGCUCGCACUUCAUUGAAGACGCUUUACGGGAGCGGCCUGGAGAGCCCGCUGGCCGGCGAGGAGGAUGGCCCCGCCAAUCUGCUUCCCUUCCUGGUUCGUGAUCUUGAAGAUGUCACCCUUAGCCUUGGCCCUACGGCGGAGGCCGAGGCACGCGUCUUGUCUUCUGCAGCACUGACGCGGGUCUUCACCCACAUCUAUCUUCGCGACCCCAAUGUCGACCUCUACAGCCUGCUGGAGCCAGCGAGCGGCGAGCUUGCCGCUACCGCUACUGAGGCCGUGAAGGGUCAUGCGGAGGCUCUGCUGGGGAAGUUCCGGGCCUUCAGCACCAAGCCGAAGCGAAGCGCUGCUGGCUUUGCUGCUCCACAAGGCGAACUCGCUCCACGCAGCUCCACCGCCGGCAAAUGACUCCGUCGUGGCUCUCGUCCUGCUUUUAAUUCCUGCGCAUGUACCACGCCUCGGGGAGGCGUUAGAACUUGUAUUUGGUGCUGCGAUAACAGUAUGAACUGUAAUAUUUGCUUUUGAAUUCCCUAAAAUUUGCACUAUUCCUUCCUACUUGCUUAUGUUCUACGCCGGCAGAGCCCGGCCCCGCGCAUACCUCAAUCGCCGUUAGCCCCGAUCGGAAACCAGGACGGGGCCAAGGGGUGAGGGGCUACGUGACAAGUUAGGCUCCUGAGUCGCGAUGCUCAGGAGUCCCCCUUGGCGCUCGAACAACAAGUAGGGAGGUGAGAUGUGGGGGUGACUCCUUAGGGAGGUGAGAUGCGGGUGGAUCUACCGUUCUACGUCUGCAGAGCCCGGCCCCGCGCAUACCUCAACCGCCGUUAGCCUUUCGGAACUAAGGAGUGAGGGGCUACGUGACCAGUUAGGCUCCUGAGUCGCGAUGCUCAGGAGUCCCCCUUGACGCACAAACGGCCUUCGUACCUUAGCUCCGCUCGGGGAGGGACGUGUGAUGAACCAGGCCCGGGGGCCUAGCUGGGUGGCGUGCGUCUGGGUGUAACCCAGGCGUAGCCCCCGUGCCCAGCCCCCUCGCGCGGCACUCCUGAGGGGAGGCAUUGCGAUGAGGCCAAACACUGAGCUCGGGGCUCCCUGAGGUUGAUGCGGCCCGGGGGCCACCCUCAGUUGUCUAUCACCAACGCGAAGCAUAGCGCUUCCGUAUGUGUACGGGCAUAGCCGCUCCUCGGCAGUGUCGUCAGCCAGCGCAGAGCAUGGUGCUUCCACUGGUACGUGGGAGGGGGCUCCCCUCCGGGAGGAGCCCCCGGGGCGUAUACAGCCCCGCCCUGACACGUGGCUGGCACGGUAGGGCUGACAAGGUGUAUCUGGGCACCCGUGGGCCAGCGCGGGACUCACGGGGCCCUACCUCAAGGCGGGUUGAGCCCGGCUCUGGGCCUUAUCUUGGAGUGUGUUCCUGAAAAUUUGGCUAGAUGCCGGUGCUCUACGUCCUCGGGUCCCGGCCCUCGAGCUGGUCUCAGCCGUCGCUGGCAUGCCAGGUCGCGAUGCCAUGGACAAGACCAGAGGGUGAGGGCUGGAGAGCCGGUAGGAGCCCUGAGUCGCGAUGCUCAGGCACCCCCCCUUUAACGCGCAAGCUGGGUUAGAUGUCGAAACUCUACGUCCUCGGGUCCCGGCCCUCGAGCUGGUCUCAGCCAUCGCUGGCAUACCAAGUCGCGAUGCCAUGGACAAGACCAGAGGGUGAGGGCUGGAGAGCCGGUAGGAACCCUGUGUCGCGAUGCUCAGGUGCCCCCCCUUUAACGCGCAAGCUUGCGACAUCCAAGCAAAGGUGCUACGGACAGGCACCGAAUAACAAACAUGAUGGGUCGAAAGCAUGGCCCCGAGAUAAACGCAAGAGGGGUACACGCCGCUGGGUCUGACCCGAGCGGCUUGGGGAUGAUGCAGCCCGAGGGGCGCCCUCGAUAAAGUAAGCUAAGAACAUGAAAUAAAAAGGGAUACACGCCGCAGGGACGGACCCACAUGGCCUGGGAAUACUACAACCCUGAGGGCGCUCCCAGAUGGAAAUGAAACUUGAAAAGUGUCACCUGAUGAUGUCGGGGACGAAGGGGUGUUGGUGUAGCAAACUCGGUGGGCUGCGGGGGCCGAUCCUCACGAGCCCCCAGGCCCAGGGGCCUCGGGAGGCCCCGGAGGCGCUGGUGGCUCCUCGCGGACCAUCUCCAUCUCCGCCAGGGCUGCGGCGUGCCUGACCUCUUGAGCCUCCAGGAUGGCCCUCAUGAGGCGCUGGUACGCAGCAGCCGCGUUCGGCAAGCCAUAAGGCAUACGAACGUAGCUGUGGGGCGGACCUUCACAGCGUCCCACUUGCGAGUGCCAGAGGCGCUGCUGAGACGCGGCUCGGUUGAGCCCUGGUAUGUCGAUGAAGACGCGCAGCCCACCAUCCUCGCCUGGAUGGGGGGCCACGGCGGGUAGGCGGCGGCUGCCUCUCAUGACUCUCGACUCCUGUAGCUCCUGAAUGGCCUUGCUGACGAACUCCUGUGGGUUUGGCCCUCCUUGCCUUGCUCCUUCUCGAGGGAAACGUGCUCCAAAACAUGCCUCCAUGUGGUGCCCAAGCGCCUCCCUCGUGACUUUGGCGAGGUCGGCGGCCCUCCAGGGGAGAGCCCCCGAGCCCUGCCUGAGGAGGGCGCCGGGCGCGCUUCCCUAUGCGAUGGAAGGAGCCUCCCCCUGAGCAGGCGCGGGCCGUGAAGGGCCUGCCUCCUGAGGGGCCGGGCCAGACGAUGUCUUCUUCUUCUUGGGGGCGGCCUCGGGAAGCCUCCUGCUUCCGCGAUCCGGGUCUUCCAGCGACGCGACCUGAAAGGCUCGCUCCAGGGAGCACACUGCGUCUCUCUCUUCAUAGGGCACCGUGAUGACUCCACCACUUCCUGGCAUCUUGAGGAUGUUGUAGCCGUGGUGGGUUACGACCAUGAACUUGGCCAGCGCUGGGUACCCGAGGAUGGCGUUGUACGGCAGGCGGAUGUGGGCGACGUCGAAGUCGAUGAGCUCGGUGCGGUAGUUGUCACGUGCACCGAAGGUGACAGGAAGGCGAACCUGCCCGAUCGGGACCGUGGAGCCGUCGGUGACUCCGGAGAAAGGCUUGGUUGGCUGAAGCUGAUUGUAGGGCACUUGAAGAUUGUUGAACGUUUCCACGGACAGGACGUUGAGCCCUGCCCCGGCAUCGAUGAGGGUCCUGGUGACUAGCACGUUGCUGAUGAUUGGGGAACAAAGCAUCGGGAGGACUCCGGCUGUGGCCGCGCACUUGAGCUGAUCCGCUGAGCUGAACGUGACGGCGCAUGCCGACCACCUGAGAGGGCAUGUGGCCUCGAGCUUGGGGAGGGCCGCAUUUACUUCGCGGGCGAACUGCUUGAAGAUGCGCUGAGAGGCUGGGGCUUGAGCUCCGCCCAGGAUGCAGGCGAUCGCGCGUGGUUCCUGGAAGCCCCAGCCCCCUCGUCCUGAUGACGGUCUUCAUUUCUUCUUGGCUGCGGCGGCAGCGGAGGGAGGCCUGCGUUCCCUUGCGGGCGAUCCUCGCGAGGCUGAUCCCUCUAGCCUCCCUCGCGAGGCGAGUCCUGCCAGCGAUCCUCGCGAGGUUGGUCGCGCCACCCCUGGCGUGGGCCGCGGUCUUCCCAGCAUCCUGCGUUCCUUCCUCCUCCUCGGCCGUAGCCCUGGUCGCUGCGGUCGGGACAUCGGCCGACCCUUCCUUCACGCACGGCACGAAGCUCUUGGCAUUCAUUGGUGUUGUGGGUGUGGAGGUCGUGGUACACACAGUACCGACUCCCAUUGGAGGGUUCGGGCUGAUCUCUGCCCUGCUUGGUGUCUGGCUCUGCCGCGAGCACGGCAGCCCCUUUGCGCUUCACGUCCUUGGCCUUGGGCUUCUUCUCUUCUGGGUCUGCGGCAGGCAGUUCGAGGAGGGAGAGGCACCCCUCCUCAGCCCUGGCGCACUUGGUCGUCGAGUUGAACAGCUCCAAGGAGGUGCACAGGUCUUCAUGCAUCGCCAGCUCCUCCUUCAUCUUGACGUCGUGCACACCGUCAGAGAAGGCUGAGAUGAUGGCCUCCUCGGUCACCUUGGGGAUCUUGAGGCGCGCGUUGUUGAAGCGCUGGAUGUACUUAUGCAGGGUUUCCCCUGGUUGCUGCUUGAUACGGUGCAUGUCGCUUACGGCGGGUGGCCUGUCGUGAGUACCCUGGAAGUUGGCGAUGAAGCGGGUGCGCAUCUCGUCCCAGGAGGAGAUCGUGCCUGGAGCCAGAUUUGGGAGCCAGGUGCGGGCCCCGUCCUUGAGCGCCAUGGGAAACCAGUUCGCCAUGACCUUCUCGUCUCCGUUGGCGGCCUCGAUGCCCAGCUCGUAGAGCUGGAGGAACUCUGUGGGGUCAGCCGUCGUAGCGAGGAGGCAGGUCUGGCUUGAACUUGCCAGGCCACACGACGCUGCGUAGCUCGGGGGUGAAGGCGAGGCAGCCCGCUGUGGCCACAGGAGGCCUUGGGCGACCAAGAGCUGGGUCCUGUGGGUCCCCAUGCGCUGCAGCUGGGAGCAGCGCGGGGUCUUGACGUGGUGGAGUAGGGAGCGCUUGAGCAGCUUCUUGAGGGCGAGGGACUCCUUGGCAGCUCUACUCCUGCCGCGCUGGCACCUGACGGAGCGGGUUUCGCUCAGGGGCCAUGCGCCUAGGGGCCAGGGCGCCUUCUCGAGGGGGAGGCAGCUGAGGCGCCCCAGGAGCUUCAUUGCCUGCGCAGGGCGGGGCGCGGUGCAGCGAGAGGACGGCGCGGGGGAGCCCGCAGCGGCGCGGACGAGCUCGGCGACUCGGUCGAGCCACUCGUCGUAGACGUCGUCGAUUGGGCGGUAGUGCAGGAUCUCGUUUGCCGCAAUGAGCGUAGCUCGAGCCUCCAUGGCCGCGCGGUGCGCGCGAGACAAAGAACCAGCGGGGGUGAGCGAGGGUGUAGCAGUGCGGCCGUCUCACCUCAUGGAUGGGUGCUGGGACGAUGCUUGCUGCUUGUUCCCCGCCGGGCCGGUGGCGGCGUUGACGGCAGGUGACUUGCGACAAUCCGAGCAACGUACAAGAGACUACUUCGACACAUCAAUGGCCUCUCUCAAGGAAGACAUACAAGCCAUGAUGGUCAAUCACUCCUCUACGACAUCAUCCUAUCCAAGAUGGACCCACUUAAGUUGACAUUCUUCACAAUCUUCUACGGAUGCAAGUCCUCCGAGAGCUUGUUCAUACCGUUGCCAAGACCAUGAAGAUCAUCAAGCUCCAGCAACCCAUUCCAUGGCAAUGGAAUACAAGACCGUCUCUGGGCACGUGAACGACAACGUCGGCAAGAUAGUGAUCCUAUGGUCCAAGCGCAAGCUCCAAUACGCCAAGAUCGACAAGAACAACAAGAUGGUGAUGAAAUUCGACAACAACACCAAGAUGGCGAUGCACCUCGACAAGAGCAAUAACAUCGUGAGGAACAAAACCUUGAAGCACAACAUGCUCUUCACGAAGCUACACUUGCCAUCGACAAGCGCAACCGCCAAGCACGACUUCAAGAAGAGGCCCUCCGCCGAGAGCGCCAAGAAGAAGCCGCAUGUCUUGAGGAGCUUAAAGAGAUGAGGAAUCGUGCUAACCUUCCAUGACCUCAACGCCAAGCCAAUAGUGAGGCGCAAGAGAAUCAAGCGGUUCAAGAUCCUCCCCCACGACAAGACCGUCAUCAUCAUCACCAUCGACCCCAACAAAAUGACAAGCAAAGCUACGUAAACUCAAGUUCACCAUGCCUAAGUUCUCCGGAAGCAAUGAUCACGAGGAGUACCUUUCAUGGGUAUUGAAGGUUGACAAGAUCUUUCGUUUGCACAACUAUGAAGAAGAGAAGAAGAUCGCCAUGGCAACCCUUGAGUUCCAAGACUACAUCCUCAUUUGGUGGGAGCAUGUCAUUGAGCGCCGUGAGGCAAGAGGUGAACCACCCAUCACAACAUGGAAUCAAAUGAAGGAUGUCAUGAGAGCGUGCUUUGUGCCAACCUACUACAACCACGACCUCUUCAAGAAAUUACAACUCCUCAAGCAAGGAACAAAGAGCAUUGAAGAGUACUACAAGGAAAUGGAGAUUGCCAUGAUAUGAGCCAAUGUCACGGAAGAUGAUGAGCAAACUAUGGCAUGUUUCUUGAAUUUAUUUGAUAAACGGGAUCACAUCAUUAGUGGAAUGAUGUGAUGGACAAGACCCAUCCGUUAGCUUAGCAUAAUGAUCGUUCAGUUUUAUUGCAACUACUUUCUUCGUGUCAAAUAUAUAUUCCUCCGACUAUGAGAUUAUGCAACUCCCGGACACCGGAGGAAUGCCUUGUGUGCUAUCAAAUGUCACAACAUAAAUGAGUGAUUAUAAAGACGCUCUACAGGUAUCUUCAAAGGUGUUUGUUGGGUUGGCACAGAUCGAGAUUAGGAUUUGUCACUUCGAGUAUCAGAGAGGUAUCUCUGGGCCCUCUCGGUAAUGCACAUCAUAUGAAGCCUUGCAAGCAAUGUCAUUAAUGAGUUAGUUAUGGGAUGAUGCACUACGGAACGAGUAAAGAGACUUGUCGGUAAUGAGAUUGAACUAGGUAUGAAGAUACCGACGGUCAAAUAUUGGGCAAGUAACAUACCGAUGACAAAGGGAACACCAUUUGUUGACAUUGUCGUUCGACCAAUAAAGGUCUUCGUAGAAUAUGUGGGAACCAAUAUGAGCAUCCAGGUUCCACUAUUGGUUAUUGACCAGAGAUGUGUCUCGGUCAUGUCUACAUAGUUCUCGAACCCAUAGGGUCCGCACGCUUAAAGUUUGAUGACGAUAUGUAUUAUAUGAGUUAUGUGUUUUGGUGACCGAAGGUUGUUCUGAGUCCCGGAUGGGAUCACAGACAUGACGAGGAGUCGCUAAAUGGUCUAGAGGUAAAGACUCAUAUAUUGGAAGGUUAUAUUUGGACAUCGGAAUGGUUCUGGAGUGUUUCAGGGAUUUUUCAGAGUACCGAGGGGUUACCGGAACCCCCCGGGAAAGUUAAUGGGCCUCAUGGGCCAUAGGGGAGAAGAGGAGGUAGGCCACAUGAGGUGGCGCCCCCCCAUUAGUGUCCGAAUUGGACUAGCGGAGGGGGCACGACUCCCUCUUUCCUUCUCCUUCUCUCCCUUCCCCCUUUUCCCCCUUCGGAAAGGAAGGGGGGUCCAAAUUGGACUGGGAGUCCUAGUAGGACUCCCCCCUUGGGGGCGAGCCUUGGUCGGCCAUCUCCCCUCCCCUCCUUUAUAUUCGGGGGCAGGGGGCACCCCAAAGCACAUCAAUUGUCUUAGCCGUGUGCGGUGCCCCCCUCCACCGUAUACUCCUCCAGUCAUAUUGUCGUAGUGCUUAGGCGAAGCCCUGUGCGUAUCACAUCACCAUUACCGUCACCACACUGUCGUGCUGAUGGAACUCAUCUCCUUUGUACCACUACUAGAUCAAGAGUUCGAGGGAGUCAUCAAGCUGAACGUGUGCAGAACUCGGAGGGGUCGUACGUUCGGUACUUGAUCGGUAGAUUUGAGAAGACGUUCAACUACAUCAAUUGCGUUAAGUUAACGCUUCCGCUUUCGGUCUACGAGGGUACGUGGAUACACUCUCCCCCCCUCGUUUCUAUCUCCUAGAUAGAUCUUGCGUGAGCAUAGGAAUUUUUUUGAAAUUGCAUGCUACAUUUCCCAACAGUGGUCUCCGAGCCAGGUCUAUGCAUAGAUGAUAUGCACGAGUAGAACACAAAGAGUUUUGGGCGGUGAUUGUCAUACUGCUUACCACCAAUGUCUUAUUUUGAUUCGGCGGUAUUGUUGGAUGAAGCGGCCCGGACCAACCUUACAUGACCACAUUCAUGACAUCAGUUCCACUGACAGACAUGCAGCUAGUUUUAGAUAAAAGUGGCUAGCGGGUGUCUGUUUGUAACAUCCCAAAAUUCUAAAUUUUGGAAUGUUAUAAACAGAUAGAUAGUUUUGAUUGAUUGUUUGAUUGCUUGUGUGAAAUUGAGUGAUUCGAAACUUUUGAAAGUUAAAUGAGAGGGAAUAAAAGGACUUUCCCAAACUUUCAUCUUGCUUUUAUGAUCUCCGUGAAUUCAAAUUCUUUUCAUCACAAAACCCUGGAGAGAAGAUGACAUGACUUCUUCCAUUUAUUUAAAUGACAAGGGGUGUUGAAAAUACUUGAAUUUCAUUUGGAAAAUAUUUCCAACCCAGGAACUUUAUGCAACUCAAUGAUUUUCACGAGCGAAGAUAAAAUGACUUCUUCAAAACAUAUGAAAUAUGAGUUGGGAGUUUCAAAGAAUUAAAUUCAAAGCUCUUUUGAAUUUAUUUUCAAUUUGGAGUUUUAUUCAAAUUAUUUUUCUCCAAAAAUAAAAUAUAUGGAAAAUAGGGUAACAUGAUUCCCUACAAUAGAAAAUUGGAGAGAAAUAAAUUUGAAUUCAUUUUGGUAUUUUUAAAAUGAUUUUUAUUGGAUUUUAGUAGAGCAGGAGCACUCAUUGCUUUAUUUAAAUUUGUGUGUAUUUUAUUUGAUCUUACAAAAAUGUUCAACUUGUAGGAAAUCUUUUUCUGAAAAUUUUGAUAUAUUAUAUGCCUAUAUAAUAUUAUUAUUAGUUAUUUUGUUUAUUCUUUUAGUUCUCUGAAAAAAAUUGUUUUUAUUAAAAAAAAUGUUUCCCUCCCCGACUGGGCCGGCCCAACUAGCCAGCCGGUCGCGACCCAGCCCGCGUCGCGCCGCCACCGACCUCCGGCAGGAGACCGGCUCCUGUACGUCGCCUCCGCCGUCGGACUCCGAUCCGGGCACGCCUCCCGAAGUCCAUCGCCCCCCUCUAUUUAAGCCGCACCGGGGCCCCCUGGAUCCCGAUCCGCCGCCGCCCUCCCUCUCCCGCAGCCGCCGCCUGCCCGUCGCUGCAUCUCGCCGCCACCGCCGCGCGCAUCUUGCCGCCGCAGCCGCUCGCCCACGCCACCGUGCCGGUCCCCGCGCUGCCCUCGCCCCUCACCGACGUUCCGCGUCGGAGCCGCCAUCUCGCCUCGCCCCGCUCGCCGGAAUCCGCAGCCUCGCCGGAGCCGAUCCAAACCGCCACCGCCGCCCGGACUCGCCGACUCGCCGGCGUCCGAUCCUGAUCCAACCGCCGGUUUUCUUUCGGUCCGGUCCGGUUUUAUUUUUAAGGUUCGGUUUUGGUUAAAAAAACCCGUUUUAUUAUUUAUUUAUUUAGUUUAGUUAUGUAAUGAACGUUUUCUGUUUAGGUAGUUUCAGCGAACGUUUUUGUUCGUUAGGUUUUCGUAGCGAACGUUCACUAUUUAUUCUUUUUCUUUUUCUGUUUAAAUUACGCCAGGGACCUAUCUGUGAAUAUAUUUAUUUACAGAUUAGCCCCUAGUUUUCAAACGUUCACCACUUUUUACUCGCUUGUCCAAAUUCAAUGAAACCAACGCCCACUUCUUCGUUAUGAUCCCCUCUAUCCAGUAAUCCAACUCAAACAUGUUUUUGAAAGUUUAAAAUUUGAAUUAGAUCAGAUUUGAAUUUGAACUUCGUUUGAUCAUAACUUAAGUUUUAUAACUCCGUUUGAGUUGAUUCUUUUUGCAUUUCGAAGCUCUUGACCUAAACUUUCUGAUAAGGCCAAAUUCACAUAAUUUUUGUACUGUUAGGAAUUGUUUUAUGAUGCAAGAGUUAUUUGCUUGGUUUUGAUGUUUUCCGAAUCGUACUCUUCGUUCUUUCCGAUCUUUUGAGUGAUUGCUUAUGUGUGGUUACUAUUGCUUGCUCACGAUAGAUUGACCGGAGUGUGACGAAUAGAACUAUCAGGAGCUGAGUGCGAAUCAUCUUCAUCAACAUUGCAGGCAAGUUCACACUUUGAUCAUAUCCCUUUUCAUACUCAGUUUUUAUGCAUUAGUUUCAACCCUUAAACAUUGCAUGGUUAGGAGUUGACAAUACGUGGGUAUUGGGAAGUAGUUGCUGAGGUAGAACCUAUUGCCCUGUUUAUUUUCAAACCCUUGGGAGUUACUUCUAUGUUAUGCUUAUAUUGCCAUGCUAUGCUCGUAGACGUGGAUUGGGUUUGAGUGAUAUCCAUGACAGAUGUGAGAUUGUUAAUUAAUGGUUUACUUAAGGUGGUAACUUUAAUACACAUCUGGGUGGACUGAGGCACAUGGGGUUACCAGUGAUUGCCUGUUUUAUUUUUGGAAAUCCCGGGGUUACCGUGUGAUUCUCCUAUGGACCGCCACCCAGGCUCAAAGGAAACUGAGUCUAUUCAUGCUAGAAACUUCCGUGUGCAGCCGCAAGCUAUUAUGGGCUCUAGCAUAGUUGAGUAAGUUACAUGAAGCUCUUGAAGAGGUGGAUCAGCAGGUAGUUGGUUUGUAGGUUUGGUAUGGUCUGCCCGGAGUAGAGAGUUAAUGUUUCUGAAAGACUGUGUCUCGGUCAUCCGUUUCUCAAACACCAUGUAGUGCAAGAAAUCCAACGGAGGCGAUCUAGUCUUGCGGGGAAAAGUGCGCAAACCUCUGCAGAGUGUACAAACUAAUCAUGGUUAGCCGUGUCCUCGGUUAUGGACAAUUCUGAGUAUCUAGUACUUGAGUAUUCACAUGUAUCUCAACACUCUUAAUUAAUAUUGUUGGGUUGUUAAUGACUUUAAUUUGGGAUUGAGAGGGGGUUUACCUUCUCAAUAUUUUUUAAUUGGGAUCAUUGAGUUGGGGUUACCUUCUCAAAUGAUGUUUCAACCAACAUGAUAGUUAAAUUAAAACUGAUUCCUUUGCAGUAGGGAAAAAUUGGCUUUUCGCAAAAACAUUAUAACCUUAGAGCUUUUCCACCAGCCAUAUAUGCAUGUAGUGAUAGCCUUUAUUCAUCAUUGCUCUAUGGCGUGAAUUUGCCAGUACAUUCAAUGUACUGACCCUCUGUGGCUGCAACGUCUCAUGUUGCAGGAUCUUACGACGAGUAAGUGAUACGUUAGGGUUACGAUUUCCUAUACUCAACUUUGCCGUUGGUGUUGAUGGUAAUCCACAACCUUGUUACUUCCGCUAUUUGGAUUUAGGUAAUGAUAUUUACGUUAUUUUAUACAUGUGAUUUACCUCUGUUAUAAAUCCUCGGGUACUGUGUGUGUCAGCAUACCGAUCCAGGGAUGACACCUAAGCAUAGAGACUUGACCGUCUGAGGUCGGGUCGCUUCAAGAUGGUAUCAAAGCACAUGUUGAGUGUAGGACGUGACCCUAGAAACUGGCAAGCCCAUAGGAAAGAUUUUUUCUCUACAACUUUCUUUUCAAAAGAUCUUUUACCUCUCUUCUCUUCUGAGCUUAUUCAAAUAUUCCCUUUAGUGAGACUAUACCCCUUUUCCCCUUUUGACCCCUCGAAGAUUCGACUGAUGAGACCACUACAAGAAGUACAAGAUAUCGGACAACCAAGACCAUUCGGAAUGAAGAGGAUAUUUACCGUGCAUUACACUGAUGGAAACUACAACGGUUGAAGACUGAGAAUUCGAAGGCUCUGUAGAAUUUGCAGAUUAGUAUGACCAAGGAAGGCUACAAUUAUGGAACUUGACAGACUAUGGAAGCUGUCAAUACCCGAGAUAAAGGUGUAUCGGAGAAAGACCUAAACAUGGGGCAUUAGAACUCGAAGUUUUCGUCAAGGAAAACCCUAAGACAGGAGAUAUCAAUUAUGAAUGAUAGCUCAUGGCAAUGACAAGGGAAGAAACAUGGCUAUCCAUGAUGUUAUCGCCCGCUUAUGCUAUUGUCACCGAGCUGAGUUAAGCAUGCAUUCUUCGAAAGAAUUGGAUGGUAGAAAGCUGAAGGAGCACCCAUCAACAAAGGAUGUAGCUUUAACCUUAGCUGGUGUAUCACCAGGAUCUGGAGUGUUACAUCAAGAAGUUCAGAUGGACCUACAAAAACAAUAUUUUGACAAGGAAGUAUUUCAUGAAGAACUCAGGACCCUGAAGAUGAGAGUAGCCAAGAUGGAGGAGCAAAACCUCGAGAUACCGGAGAUUCGUCAGGAACUGAAGAAACAGUAGUACCAUGGUUCAUGCCAAGGAUGUUAAAACCCAGAAGUUUGGAAAGCAGCUCCAGAAUAUUAAAGGACGUAGGAGAAACUUCGCGUCAACAGAGAUGAUUUGGCAAAAGAAUUUGAGAAAGGACAAGCAUGAUCAGAAGGAGCCAUCGGAGACAUGACCAAGACUUGAAGAGCUUGAUGACAUUGAGAUCUAUAGACCAUUAGAAGACCCAACCCCUGUUAGAUAUUUACGUUAGAUGCGACGAUUGUGAGCUGUCAUUUGUUUGUUGUUUUUCCGACAGCCACAAUAAAACCUGUCUUUUCAAAACUUUUGUUUGUGUUGUGUGUAUCCCUCUCUAUCUCUCUUAUCCCACCCCAAAACACAUGGACCCAAUAGAGGAUGAAUGAAGAUGAGCUCAUAUUAUCUGGACUAAUGAGUCAAUUGGAAACGGACCGAUGGAUUCAGAACAUGGAGGAACAUAUGGAGAAUGACACUAUAGCCAUAAAGGAUAUAACCCAGCAUGCUCUUCAGUGCUUUGUAAGAGUUGCUGCUACUUGGUGGAGGAUGUACCAAACCAUCAAUGGAUGGCAAGGAGUAACAACUUGGGGAGAAUUUAAGUUGACCUUGCUACAGUCUCGGCUUGUGUCCCAGAAGAUGAAGCCUCAUGGAAAUGAUAUGAAGAAACUCUGUGCAUGCAAGCUUUGUGGAGAAAUAGGACACAACCAUAAGGAGCACAAGGAUGAAUGACCUAAUUGUGAAGGAAGUCACCCAGCAAAAGAAUGCCCAAAUAGGCAGAUUACUUGUUUCUUGUGUGAAGGAACUACCCACUACCCUUCUCAGUGUCACAUUUACCCUAUGGUACAGAGAACCAUCCAACAGAAGAAAGAAGCAAUGAAAGGAGCCCUCAUGGAAAUUUUAGAAGAACCGGUGAUCAAGGAAGAUGCCAAGGGCACACACAAAGGAAACAAAAUUAAAGCCUGCACCAAGUCAUGCUAUUCAUGUGGAGAAGAAGGACACAUCUCCCAAGAUUGUUUGAAUGGAGAUCUAGUAGAAUUCCCGACAGAGGAAGUAGAGUACGAACCACAGGAAAUAGAAGCCCUGAUUGGAACGGAAAAAUCCAGAAAGAGAAGUAGAUUGGAUUCCAGGAAGGACCGGAGUCAUAUCACCUGCUACAGGUGCAAGGAGUCAGGGCACUACCUCAACUAUUGCCCAAAAAGGAAGCCGAGGACCCAAGGAGGCUAUAUGAUCACAAGGAAACCACGAGAAUUGUCAGAAGUGAUAUGUUUUCAUUAUAAUGAAGCAGGGCACCUUGCCAUGGAUUGUUCCAAGAAGAAGGAGACUUGUGCUAAAUAGUUGAGUUAGCAACAAAAGAAAUGUAGUAGUAGUAGUGGGAACAAUUCUUCUAUAUUGAGGUGUUGAGUUGAGGCAUGUAAUGGAAAAGCAAGAGAUUGUAAUCGUUGGAGAAUCAAUAAAGUUUGCAUCGUUGGUAUUGAUUUGGAUUUUAUGAGUUGUUACCCUAUGAAGAAAGAUUGUGACCAUUUUCGAGGAUAUGAGAAAUAUGGUCUAUGGAAGAUUGGAGCAUUUUAAGGGUGGUAGUACCUUCUGAGGAGAUAUGACCCCUGGAUAGGAUAAUGAUAUUCCACGGAGUGGAUUUCGGACAAAAUAAGUAUGAGUUUUGUCUCGAUAUGUUGGAUACCCCCAAGAGCAUGAAGGAAAGAAGUAUUAUUGGAUAUAAAGGAGGUAUGAUGUUGGAAAUAUGGAUCAAUGGAAAUUCCAUGAUGAGUCUGAGUAAUCAUGUCCUAGUUUGGUGCCAAUAGAAGGAAGGAAGACAGUACAAUUGGAUGGAUUUAAGGAAGCUGGAAGUUGAAUGUUGGAAUAACGAUAAGUUGCCCGCGAUGAUGAGUUCAAGGUUUAUAAAGUGAUGAGAUGGGCCAUAACCCACAGGCCCCAGGACCUGCCAAGAAGCAAGCACAUUCUUGCUGAAGGAAAAACCCUGGAAGGAGUUACCAUUUUAUCGACAGACGAACUUAUAGGAGUUUACGCAAAACCUGAGAGUGGUGAAGGACCGAUAGUUGUUUGUUUAACUUGCAGAAUCUAUGGAUUUAUCCGAACCUAGUUCGUUGACAAGAGAAAUUCUGCAAUGCUUGUGAGGAUGACCGAGUGUUAGAAUGCGAGAUUCGCUAAACCAUAUACCAGAUAAUGAUUUGGGUGCGGGAUGGAUUGAUCACCAUACCGACUUUUUCUUAUUAUUCGCCUUGCUAUAUGGGAUGGUAAAUCUGAGUGACUUACCUAUAUUAGAGAGACGACGAUCAAAACCUUGUUUGAACCUUAGAAUGGUAUAAGCAUUCUUCCCUUGUACAAGGCAGUUGUUGCCAAUCGUAGGUCAUACGGUGAGGUUCAACCCUGACCGAUUUUCUGCAGGAGAAACCAUAAAUUGUUGACCAUCAGGAGAUAUCGAUAGUUGUUGAGUAUUGGUGCCAGACCCGUCAGCUAAGAAGACCCAGUCUCGGAAUAACCUUACCAAGGUGAAAGGACCGAAGAAUUGAAGAAAAAGGUUAUGCCACUACCAGAAGAGCGCAGAGAAGGAAUUUUCCCGAGAUCUAAGAAGACCGACACUAUCAGCAAUAAAGAUGGAGUAUAUGAGUAUUGAUGAGACCGUAACCAUGCUUCUAAGGGUGGUAGCACCCGAGACCCCGAAGACGAACGCUGGAUUGUGAAGACCCCUACCCUAACCUAUUUCUUGCUAGCCUCUCCGAAUCUCGAGGACGAGAUUCAUUUUAAGGGUGGUAGGUUUGUAACAUCCCAAAAUUCUAAAUUUUGGAAUGUUAUAAGUAGAUAGAUAGUUUUGAUUGAUUGUUUGAUUGCUUGUGUGAAAUUGAGUGAUUCGAAACUUUUGAAAGUUAAAUGAGAGGGAAUAAAAGGACUUUCCCAAACUUUCAUCUUGCUUUUAUGAUCUCCGUGAAUUCAAAUUCUUUUCAUCACAAAACCCUGGAGAGAAGAUGACAUGACUUCUUCCAUUUAUUUAAAUGACAAGGGGUGUUGAAAAUACUUGAAUUUCAUUUGGAAAAUAUUUCCAACCCAGGAACUUUAUGCAACUCAAUGAUUUUCACGAGCGAAGAUAAAAUGACUUCUUCAAAACAUAUGAAAUAUGAGUUGGGAGUUUCAAAGAAUUAAAUUCAAAGCUCUUUUGAAUUUAUUUUCAAUUUGGAGUUUUAUUCAAAUUAUUUUUCUCCAAAAAUAAAAUAUAUGGAAAAUAGGGUAACAUAAUUCCCUACAAUAGAAAAUUGGAGAGAAAUAAAUUUGAAUUCAUUUUGGUAUUUUUAAAAUGAUUUUUAUUGGAUUUUAGUAGAGCAGGAGCACUCAUUGCUUUAUUUAAAUUUGUGUGUAUUUUAUUUGAUCUUACAAAAAUGUUCAACUUGUAGGAAAUCUUUUUCUGAAAAUUUUGAUAUAUUAUAUGCCUAUAUAAUAUUAUUAUUAGUUAUUUUGUUUUAUUAUUUUAGUUCUCUGAAAAAAAAUGUUUUUAUUAAAAAAAAAUGUUUCCCUCCCCGACUGGGCCGGCCCAGCUAGCCAGCCAGGUCGCGGCCCAGCCCGCGUCGCGUCGCCACCAACCUCCGGCAGGAGACCGGCUCCUGUACGUCGCCGCCGCCGCCGGACUCCGAUCCGGGCACGCCUCCCGAAGUCCAUCGCCCCCCUCUAUUUAAGCCGCACCGGGGCCCCCUGGAUCCCGAUCCGCCGCCGCCCUCCCUCUCCCGCAGCCGCCGCCUGCCCGUCGCUGCAUCUCNNNNNNNNNNNNNNNNNNNNNNNNNNNNNNNNNNNNNNNNNNNNNNNNNNNNNNNNNNNNNNNNNNNNNNNNNNNNNNNNNNNNNNNNNNNNNNNNNNNNNNNNNNNNNNNNNNNNNNNNNNNNNNNNNNNNNNNNNNNNNNNNNNNNNNNNNNNNNNNNNNNNNNNNNNNNNNNNNNNNNNNNNNNNNNNNNNNNNNNNNNNNNNNNNNNNNNNNNNNNNNNNNNNNNNNNNNNNNNNNNNNNNNNNNNNNNNNNNNNNNNNNNNNNNNNNNNNNNNNNNNNNNNNNNNNNNNNNNNNNNNNNNNNNNNNNNNNNNNNNNNNNNNNNNNNNNNNNNNNNNNNNNNNNNNNNNNNNNNNNNNNNNNNNNNNNNNNNNNNNNNNNNNNNNNNNNNNNNNNNNNNNNNNNNNNNNNNNNNNNNNNNNNNNNNNNNNNNNNNNNNNNNNNNNNNNNNNNNNNNNNNNNNNNNNNNNNNNNNNNNNNGCUGCCCUCGCCCCUCACCGACGUUCCGUGCCGGAGCCGCCAUCUCGCCUCGCCCCGCUCGCCGGAAUCGGCAGCCUCGCCGGAGCCGAUCCAAACCGCCACCGCCGCCCGGACUUGCCGACUCGCCGGCGUCCGAUCCUGAUCCAACCGCCGGUUUUCUUCCGGUCUGGUCCGGUUUUAUUUUUAAGGUUCGGUUUUGUUUAAAAAAACCCAUUUUAUUAUUUAUUUAUUUAGUUUAGUUAUGUAAUGAAUGUUUUCUGUUUAGGUAGUUUCAGCGAACGUUUUCGUUCGUUAGGUUUUCGUAGCGAACGUUCACUAUUUAUUCUUUUUCUUUUUCUGUUUAAAUUACGUCAGGGACCUAUCUGUGAAUAUAUUUAUUUACAGAUUAGCCCCUAGUUUUCAAACAUUCACCACUUUUUACUCGCUUGUCCAAAUUCAAUGAAACCAACGCCCACUUCUUCGUUAUGAUCCCAUCUAUCCAGUAAUCCAACUCAAACAUGUUUUUGAAAGUUUAAAAUUUGAAUUAGAUCAGAUUUGAAUUUGAACUUCGUUUGAUCAUAACUUAAGUUUUAUAACUCCGUUUGAGUUGAUUCUUUUUGCAUUUCGAAGCUCUUGACCUAAACUUUCUGAUAAGGCCAAAUUCACAUAAUUUUGGUACUGUUAGGAAUUGUUUUAUGUUGCAAGAGUUAUUUGCUUGGUUUUGAUGUUUUCCGAAUCAUACUCUUCGUUCUUUCCGAUCUUUUGAGUGAUUGCUUAUGUGUGGUUACUAUUGCUUGCUCUCGAUAGAUUGACCGGAGUGUGACGAAUAGAACUAUCUGGAGUUGAGUGCAAAUCAUCUUCAUCAACAUUGCAGGCAAGUUCACACUUUGGUCAUAUCCCUUUUCAUACCCAGUUUUUAUGCAUUAGUUUCAACCCUUAAACAUUGCAUGGUUAGGAGUUGACAAUAUGUGGGUAUUGGGAAGUAGUUGCUGAGGUAGAACCUAUUGCCCUGUUUAUUUUCAAACCCUUGGGAGUUACUUCUACGUUAUGCUUAUAUUGCCAUGCUAUGCUCGUAGACGUGGAUUGGGUUUGAGUGAUAUCCAUGACAUAUGUGAGAUUGUUAAUUAAUGGUUUACUUAAGGUGGCAACUUUAAUACACAUCUGGGUGGAUUGAGGCACCUGGGGUUACCAGUGAUUGCCUGUUUUAUUUUUGGAAAUCCCGAGGUUACUGUGUGAUUCUCCUAUGGAUCGCCACCCAGGCUCAAAGGGAACUGAGUCUAUUCAUGCUAGAAACUUCCAUGUGCAGCCGCAAGCUAUUAUGGGCUCUAGCAUAGUUGAGUAAGUUACGUGAAGCUCUUGAAGAGGUGGAUCAGCAGGUAGUUGGUUUGUAGGUUUGGUAUGGUCUGCCCGGAGUAGAGAGUUAAUGUUUCUGAAAGACUGUGUCUCGGUCAUCCGUUUCUCAAACACCAUGUAGUGUGAGAAAUCCAACGGAGGCGAUCUAGUCUUGCGGGGAAAAGUGCGCAAACCUCUGCAGAGUGUACAAACUAAUCAUGGUUAGCCGUGUCCUCGGUUAUGGACAAUUCUGAGUAUCUAGUACUUGAGUAUUCACAUGUAUCUCAACACUCUUAAUUAAUAUUGUUGGGUUGUUAAUGACUUUAAUUUGGGAUUGAGAGGGGGUUUACCUUCUCAAUAUUUUUUAAUUGGGAUCAUUGAGUUGGGGUUACCUUCUCAAAUGAUGUUUCAACCAACAUGAUAGUUAAAUUAAAACUGAUUCCUUUGCAGUAGGGAAAAAUUGGCUUUUUGCAAAAACAUUAUAACCUUAGAGCUUUUUCCACCAGCCAUAUAUGCAUGUAGUGAUAGCCUUUAUUCAUCAUUGCUCUAUGGUGUGAAUUUGCCAGUACAUUCAAUGUACUGACCCUCUGUGGCUGCAACGUCUCAUGUUGCAGGAUCUUACGACGAGUAAGUGAUACGUUAGGGUUACGAUUUCCUAUACUCAACUUUGCCGUUGGUGUUGAUGGGAAUCCACAACCUUGUUACUUCCGCUAUUUGGAUUGAGGUAAUGAUAUUUACGUUAUUUUAUACAUGUGAUUUACCUCUGUUAUAAAUCCUCGGGUACUGUGUGUGUCAGCAUACCGAUCCAGGGAUGACACCUAAGCACAGAGACUUGACCGUCUGAGGUCGGGUCGCUUCACUGUUUCUCCAACUUUAGUUGAAUCGAAUUUGACUGCGGUCGGUCCUUAUGAAGGUUAAAACAGCAAACUUGAUAAAUCACCGUUGUGGUUUUUGUGCCGUAGGUAUGUACGGUUCAUGCUAGAAGCCCGUAGCAGCCACAUAAAACUUGCAACAAACAAAGUAGAGGACGUCUAACUGUUUUUGCAGGGCAUGCUGUGAUGUGACAUGGUCAAGGCAUGAUGUGAUAUGGUCAAGGCAUGAUGUGAUAUGGUCAAGGCAUGAUGCUCCAUUGCGAAAGUUCUUCGUGUUGAGACACCAUGUGAUGAUCGGGUGUGAUAAGCUCUACAUUCAAAUACAACGAGUGCAAGCCAGUUUUGCACACGCGGAAUACUCGGGUUAGACUUGACGAGCCUAGCAUAUACAGAUAUGGCCUCGGAACACUGGAGAAUGAAAGGUCGAAUGUAAAUCAUAUAGUAGAUAUGAUCAACAUAGUGAUGUUCACCAUUGAAGACUACUCCAUCUCACGUGAUGAUCGGACAUGUUUAGUUGAUUUGGAUCACGUAUCAUUUAGAUGACUAGAGGGAUGUCUAUCUAAGUGGGAGUUCUUAAGUAAUAUGACUAAUUGAACUUAAUUUAUCAUGAACUUAGUCCUGAUAGUUUUUGCAUAUCUAUGUUGUAGAUCAAUGGCCCGUGCUACCGUUCCCUUGGAUUUUAAUGCGUUCCUAGAGAAAGCUAAGUUGAAAGAUGAUGGUAGCAACUACACGGACUGGGUCUGUAACUUGAGGAUUAUCCUCAUUGCUGCACCGAAGAAUUAUGUCCUUGAUGCACCACUGGGUGCAAGGCCUGCUAUAGGAGCAGAAGCUGACGUUGUGAACACCUGGCAAGCUCGAUCUGAUGACUACUCGUUAGUUCAGUGUGCCAUGCUUUACAACUUAGAAUCGGGACUUCAAAGAUGUUUUAACGUCAUGGACCAUAUGAGAUGUUCUAGGAGUUAAAGUUAAUAUUUCGAGCAAAUGCCCGAGUUGAGAGAUAUAAAGUCUCCAACAAGUUCUAUAGCUGCAAGAUGGAGGAGAACAGUUCUGUCAUUGAGCACAUACUCAGAAUGUUUGGGUACCAUAAUCUUGACUCAGCUGGGAGUUAAUCUUCCAGAUGAUUGUGUCAUCGACAUAGUUCUUCAAUCACUGCCAGCAAGCUACAAAGGCUUCAUGAUGAACUACAAUAUGCAAGGGAUGGAAAAGACUAUUCCCAAGCUCUUUGCAAUGCUAAAGGCUGCGGAGGUAGAAAUCAAGAAGGAGCAUCAAUUUUUGAUGGUUAACAAAACCACUACUUUCAAUAAGAAGGGCAAGGGUAAAAAGAAGGGGAACUUCAAGAAGAAUGACAAGCAAGUUGUCACUCCCAGGAAGAACCCAAAGCUGGACCCAAGCCUGAAACUGAGUGCUUCUACUGCAGAGGGAUUGGUCACUGGAAGCGGAACUGCCCCAAGUAUUUGGCAGAUAAGAAGGAUCGCAAAGUGAGGAAAUGUAUAUUUGAUAUACAUGUUAUUGAUGUGUACCUUACUAAUUGUCGUAGUAGUGCCUGGGUAUUUGAUACCGAUUCAGUUGCUCAUACUUGUAACUCAAAGCAGAGACUACGGAUUAAACAAAGAUUGGCUAAGGAAGAGGUGACGAUGCACGUCGAAAAUGGUUCCAAGGUUGAUGUGAUCACCCUUGGCACACUACCUCUACAUCUACCCUCAGGAUUAGUUUUAGACCUGAAUAAUUCUUAUUUGGUGCCAGUGUUGAGCAUGAAUAUUAUAUUUGGAUCUUGUUUAGUGUGAUAUGGUUAUUCAUUUAAAUCAGAGAAUAAUGGUUGUUCUAUUUAUAUGAGUAAUAUCUUUUAUGGUCAUGCACCCUUGAAGAGUGUUCUAUUUCUGUUGAAUCUUGAUCGUGAUGAUACACAUAUUCAUAGUAUUGAUGCCAAAAGAUGCAAAGUUGAUAAUGAUAGUGCCACUUAUUUGUGGCACUUCCAUUUGGGUCAUAUCAGUAUAAAGCACAUGAAGAAACUCCAUAAAGAUGGACUUUUGGAAUCACUUGAUUAUGAAUCAUUUGAUACUUCCGAACCGUGCCCUAUGGGCAAGAUGACUAAAACUCCAUUCUCCGGAACAAUGGAACGAGCUAGUGACUUAUUGGAAAUAAUACAUACCGAUGUAUGCGGUCCAGUGAGUGUUGAUGCUCGUGGCGGGUAUCGUUAUUUUCUAACCUUCAUAGAUGAUUUGAGCAGAUAUGGGUAUAUCUACUUAAUGAAACACAAGUCGAAAACAUUUGUAAAGUUCCAAGAAUUUCAGAGUGGAGCGGAGAAUCAUCUUAACAAGAAAAUAAACUUUCUAUGAUCUGAUCGUGGAGGAGAAUAUUUGAGUUACGAGUUUGGCCUUCAUUUAAAACAAUGUGGAAUAGUUUCACAGCUCACGCCACCUGGAACACCAUAGCGUAAUGGUGUGUUCGAACGUCAUAAUCGCACUUUAUUGGAUUUGGUGCGAUCUAUGAUGAAUCUUACUAAUUUACCACUAUCGUUCUGGGGUUAUGCAUUGGAGACAACUGCAUUCACUUUAAACAGGGCACCGUCAAAAUUCGUUGAGACAACACCUUAUGAACUGUGGUUUGGCAGCAAACCUAAGCUGUCGUUUCUUAAAGUUUGGGGAUGUGAUACCUAUGUCAAAAGGCUUCAGCCUGAUAAGCUCGAACCCAGAUCGGAGAAGUGCAUCUUCAUAGGAUACCCUAAGGAAACAAUUGGGUACACCUUCUACCACAAGUCCGAAGGCAAAAUCUUUGUUACUAAGAACGGAACCUUUCUAGAGAAGGAGUUUAUGUUGAAAGAAGUGAGUGGGAGGAAAGUAGAACUUGAUGAGGUAAUUGUACCUGUUCUCAAUUUGGAAAGUAGCUCAUCCAAGAAAUCUGUUCCCGUGAUGCCUACACCAACUGGAGAGGAAGCUAAUGAUAAAGAUCAUGAAACUAUAGAUCAAGUUGCUACAAAACCUCGUAGGUCAGGCAGAGCGCGAUACGCACCAGAGUGGUACAGAAAUCCUGUUCUGGAGGUCAUGUUACUUCACCAUGACGAACCUAAGAACUAUGAAGAAGCUAUGAUGAGCCCAGAUUCCGAUAAAUGGCUUGAGGCCAUGAAAUCUGAGAUAGGAUCCAUGUAUGAGAACAAAGUGUGGACUUUGGUGGAUUUGCCCGAUGAUCGGCGACCCAUAGAGAAUAGAUGAAUCUUCAAGAAGAAGUCUGACGCUGAUGGUAAUGUUGCUGUCUAUAAAGCUCGACUUGUUGCAAAAGGUUUUCGACAAGUUCAAGGAGUUGACUACGAUGAGACUUUCUCAUCCGUAGCGAUGCUUAAGUCUAUCCAAAUCAUGUUAGCAAUUGCCGCAUUUUAUGAUUGUGAAAUCUGGCAAAUGGAUGUCAAAACUGCAUUCCUUAAAGGAUUUCUUAAAGAAGAGUUCUAUACAAUGCAACCAAAAGGUUUUGUCGAUCCUAAAGGUGCUAACAAAGUGUGCAAGCUCCAGGGAUCCAUUUAUGGACUGGUACAAGCAUCUCGGAGUUGGAAUAUACACUUUGAUGAGGUGAUCAAAGCAUAUGGUUUUAUAAAGAAUUUUGGAGAGACCUGUAUUUACAAGAAAGUGAGUGGGAGCUCAUUUCUAAUAUUAUAUGUGGAUGACAUAUUCUUGAUUGGAAAUGAUGUAGAGUUUCUGAAUAGCAUAAAAGGAUACUUGAAUAAGAGUUUUUCAAUGAAAGACCUUGGUGAAGCUGCUUAUAUAUUGGGCAUCAAGAUCUAUAGAGAUAGAUCAAGACGUUUGAUAGGACUUCCACAAAGCACUUACCUUGAUAAAGUUUUGAAGAAGUUCAAAAUGGACCAAUCAAAGAAAGGGUUCUUGCCUGUGUUACAAGGUGUGAAAUUGAGUCAGACUCAAUGCCCGACCACUUUAGAAGAUAGAGAGAAAAUGAAAGUCAUUCCCUAUGCCUCAGCCAUAGGUUCUAUCAUCUAUGCUAUGCUGUGUACCAGACCUGAUGUGUGCCUUGCUAUUAGUUUAGUAGGGAGGUACCAAAGAAAUCCAGGAGUGGAUCACUGGACAACGGUCAAGAACAUCCUGAAGUACCUGAAAAGGACUAGGGACAUUUUUCUCGUUUAUGGAGGUGACAAAGAGCUUGUCGUAAGUGGUUACGUCAAUGCUAGCUUUGACACCGAUCUAGAUGACUCUAAGUCACAAUCGGGAUACAUAUUUAUAUUGAAUGGUGGAGCUAUCAGUUGGUGCAGUUCCAAUCAGAGUGUCAUGGAGGGAUCUAUGUGUGAAGCGGAGUACAUAGUUGCUUCAGAAGCAGCAAACGAAGGAGUCUGGAUGAAGGAGUUCAUAUCCGAUCUUGGUGUAAUACCUAGUGCAUCGGGUCCAACGAAAAUCUUUUAUGACAAUACUAGAGCAAUUGCCUUAGCGAAGGAAUCCAGAUUCCAUAAAAAGACCGAACACAUCAAGAGACGCUUCAACUCCAUUCGAGAUUUGGUCGAGGGAGACAUAGAGAUUUGCAAAAUACAUACGGAUCUAAAAGUGGCAGACCCGUUGACUAAGCCUCUUCCACGAGCAAAACUUGAUCAGCACCAAGACUCCAUGGAUGUUAGAUUCAUUACAUUGUAAUCUAGAUUAUUGACUCUAGUGCAAGUGGGAGACUGAAGGAAAUAUGCCCUGGAGGGAAUAAUAAAGUUGUUAUUUCAUAUUUUCUUAUUCAUGAUAAAUGUUUAUUAUUCAUGCUAGAAUUGUAUUAACCGGAAACUUGAUACAUGUGUGAAUACAUAGACAAAACACUGUGUCCCUAGUAUGCCUCUACUAGACUAGCUCGUUGAUCAAAGAUGGUCAAGUUUCCUAGCCAUGGACAUGAGUUGUCAUUUGAUAAAUGGUAUCACAUCAUUAGUGGAAUGAUGUGAUGGACAAGACCCAUCCGUUAUCUUAGCAUAAUAAUCACUCGGUUUUAUUGCUACUGCUUUCUUCGUGUCAAUUAUAUAUUCCUCCGACUAUGAGAUUAUGCUACUCCCGGACAUCGGAGGAACGCCUUGUGUUCUAUCAAACAUCACAAUGUAACUGGGUGUUAUAAAGAUGCUCUACAGGUAUCUCCAAAGGUGUUUGUUGGGUUGGCAUAGAUCAAGAUUAGGAUUUGUCACUCCAAGUAUCGGAGAGGUAUCUCUGGGCCCUCUCGGUAAUGCACAUCAUAUGAAGCCUUGCAAGCAAUGUGACUAAUUAGUUAGUUACAAGAUGAUGCACUAUGGAACAAUUAAAGGGACUUGCCGCUAACGAGAUUGAACUAGGUAUGAAGAUACCGACGAUCGAAACUCCGGCAAGUAACAUACCGAUGACAAAGGGAAUAACAUAUGUUGAGAUUGUGGUUCGACCGACAAAGAUCUUCAUAGAAUAUGUGGGAACCAAUAUGAGCAUCCAGGUUCUGCUAGUGGUUAUUGACCGGAGAUGUUUCUCGGUCAUGUCUACAUAGUUCUCGAACCCGUAGGGUCCGCGCGCUUAAAGUUCGAUGACGUUAAGUAUUAUAUGAGUUAUGUGUUUUGGUGACCGAAGGUUGUUCGGAGUCUCGGAUGUGAUCACAGACAUGACAAGGAGUCUCGAAAUGGUCGAGAGGUAAAGAUUGAUAUAUUGGAGGAUUGUAUUCGGACACCGGAAUGGUUCCAGAGUGUUUUGGGGAUUUUUCGGAGUACCGAGGGGUUACCGGACCCCCCCUCCCCCGAGGAAAGUUAAUGGGCCUCAUGGGCCAUAUGGGAGAGGAAGAGGCAGGCCACAGGAGGUGCCCCCUCCAUGGGAGUCCGAAUUGGACUAGGGGAGGGGGCGCGACUCCCUCUUUCCUUCUCCCUCUCUCUCUCUCUGCCCCUUCCCCCUUUCCCCCCUCCAAAAAGGAAGGGGGUCCGAGUUGGACUGAGAGUCCUAGUAGGACUCCCCCCUUGGGGGCGCGCCCUAGCCGGCCCUCUCCCCUCUCCUCCUUUAUAUACGGGGGCAGGGGGCACCCCAAAGCACACCAAUUGUCUUAGCCGUGUGCGGUGCCCCCCUCCACCAUUUACUCCUCAUGUCAUAUUGUCAUAGUGCUUAGGUGAAGCCCUGCAUGGAUCACAUCACCAUUACCGUCACCACGCCGUCGUGCUGACGGAACUCAUCUUCUUCAUACCUCUACUCGAUCAAGAGUUCGAGGGACGUCAUCGAGCUGAACAUGUGCAGAACUCGGAGGUGUCAUACGUUCGGUACUUGAUCGGUUGAUUCGAGAAGACGUUCGACUACAUCAAUCGUGUUAAGUUAACGCUUUCGCUUUCGGUCUACGAGGGUACGUGGACACACUCUCCCCUUCUUGUUGCUAUCUCCUAAAUAGAUCUUGCAUGAACAUAGGAUUUUUUUUGAAAUUGCAUGCUACAUUUCCCAACAGGCCGCCAACCUCCAGUCGCACGGACGGCUAUAAGACCCUGUCCCGGUGCCGACCCCCACACCCGACCUCACUCCCCUGCCGCCGACGAGAAAACAAGUGCAGCGCCGGCGAUGUCCUACCAACGCGGGAGCAGCAGCACCGACAGCGACGAUGACGCCCCGAGCGCUUGGCCAUCGAGCCUCGGCAAUCCGGAGAUGGCGAAGCUAUGCCGGUACGGCCUCCUCGUGCCACCGGGCUGCCAUCUUCCCCAGCAGUGGAAGAUCAGCAUUGACGGCUACGUGACACUAGGCCCCAACACGAUGACGGAAGAGCUCCGGACCCACAUCAACGGCUGCCACAACAGCAUUGGCUGUCAUGCCUUCUGGAAAGGCAAGGUCUACGACGAUGUUAUUGCCGCCUUUCGGCUGGCGGCGCCUAUCGUCACCGCCGACCUCACUGGCGCGAGCGGCCGCCUUCAUGCCACGUCACCGGCGCAUGACCUAGCCUCGCGGGGGCGCCAUCAUGGAGCUGCCCGCCAGCCAGCACCCCUGGUGGCUAUGCACGCACGCGCACCGGUUGUUCCCCCCAUCAUCGAGCUACCGCCGGAACAAGUGGUCCUCCGCGAGGACGGUGAUCCGGACGACACUCCGGGUUGGCAUGUCACCCUACGGGCAUCAGAAGCGACGGUAGUAGCAGCGAUGGAGGCUGCGAGGGAGAACGCCGAGAUAGCUCUAUAUAUGUAAAAUUAUGUUGGACUGUGUAAAAUUUCUCUAUAUAUGUAAAAUUAUGUUGGACUGUGUAAAAUAUGUUGGACUUUAUAUGUACCAGAGAGCUCGAGGAGCCGGCGGCNNNNNNNNNNNNNNNNNNNNNNNNNNNNNNNNNNNNNNNNNNNNNNNNNNNNNNNNNNNNNNNNNNNNNNNNNNNNNNNNNNNNNNNNNNNNNNNNNNNNNNNNNNNNNNNNNNNNNNNNNNNNNNNNNNNNNNNNNNNNNNNNNNNNNNNNNNNNNNNNNNNNNNNNNNNNNNNNNNNNNNNNNNNNNNNNNNNNNNNNNNNNNNNNNNNNNNNNNNNNNNNNNNNNNNNNNNNNNNNNNNNNNNNNNNNNNNNNNNNNNNNNNNNNNNNNNNNNNNNNNNNNNNNNNNNNNNNNNNNNNNNNNNNNNNNNNNNNNNNNNNNNNGGGUCAGGGGCGGCGGCAGGGUGCGGUCGGGAAGAGAGAGAAGGGGGUGGGAGACAGAGAGAGGAGGGGGUGGGAGACAUAAAGGUAAGAGAGAGAGAGAGAGGAGGGGGUGGGAGACAGAGAGAUAAGAGAGAGAGAGAGGAGGGGUAGGGCAAGGGCGUUAGCGCCGUUAGGUAGGUUUUUGUUUGCCAUCUGCUAGCUGACGAGAAAGAUACUUUACCGUCAGCUAGCGGAUGGCAAAGAGGUGGGUGGACGAGCUGUCAGGAUAGCCGCCCUCUGCUAGACCCACCAACUUCUUUGCCAUUGGCUAGCGAACGGCAAAGUAGCUUCUACCUUAACUAGCCGACGACAAAUAGCUGGCUGACGGCAAACUGCGUCUUUACUGUCAGCCAGUUCUUUGUCGUCCGUUUUUUGUGAGCUGUCGGCAGAGACCUUCUUUGCCAUCAGCAAGCUGACGACAAGGAAUAAGCUGACGGCAAAUUCUCUGAUUCCAGUAGUAUUUGAAACUAUGGACUCUUUGGAUCAUUUGGAUCUCAAUAUUCAUGCCACCAAAAAACGAUUACAUGAUGAAUAUGAUAGGUAGCAUUCCACAUCAAAAAAAAAA